AAUUAAAGUAUCUACCCAAAGUCCCAAACUUCCUGCUUACUUAAAUUGUUUCGCCUUCUUGAGUCUCACUGUUCUUUUUUGUUCCUUUGCUAUUUGGUAGUUUGAAAUUAAAGUAUCUACCCAAUGUUCCUACUACCGGAAAUUAUUUCUUCUAGAGUCUUAAAGUUCCAUUUUGUUUGCUUGCUAUUUGUGCAGUUUAUCUAUAGAUGGGAUUUAGAAUGCUGCCCCAUAUUUGACAAACUAAAGACUCUAUCACUCAAUGAGUGGUUUACGACUAUUGACCUACCGUGCAUUCUCCAACACUCUCCAGUUCUUGAGGUGCUCACUCUUCAGCUUGGUAGCACUGAGGUAUAACCUAUAUAUAUAUGAAGACAUUGUUGUACUGUUAAAGGAACUAUUAUGUAUAUUCUGUUGAUCUAACUAAAUUGUAUCAUGGAAAUUCGUUAGAGCAACAGGAGCAGAAGAAAAGAUAGAGCAAUCAUUUGUAUGCUCGCACCUUAAGGUUGUCAACAUUGAAUGUAGAAAGGUCGAUGAGGGAGUUCACAAAAUUCUGAAGUUCUUGAGUAAAUGUGGCAUACUUCGUGAUCAAAUUAGCAUCACUCACCGUAAGUAACCUUUGUCAUUUUUUUAUUUUUUCCUAUGAUAUUCCUACUUGUUUUAUCAUCUCUGUUGGAAUUAAAUAACACUCAAGAGUUUAUGAGACCCUUUUGAAAUCUAUUUAUAUUCAGUGUCCAUUAUUGGAUUGUGUGCUGGCGUAGUUCAGAACGACUGUUAGGUUUCACCGAAAUUAAUUGCUUUGUUAUUACUGGUGAUAAUACAAUAGUUACCGUUGCCGUUGUGCCUAUAAAUCUGUUGUGUCUGUAAAUCUGUUCCAUCCAUGCAAAAAUCAUUUGGGUUUGAUCCUGUGUUCUUUUACUGUUUAAUUACUGAUGGAAAUAGUAGUCAUUUUCGUCUUGAAAUUGAGUUUUAUCUUUGCUCUUGUUCUAGUUGACACAUUAAAUUUUGUAAAAAUCUUCAACUGAGGGGUGAUAGUGUACUGCCUCAUUUGUUUCACUGUUGUUACUAGCCUGUUGUCAGUUUCAUGACUAGUGUUUGAUGGCCAAAUUGCAUGCCUGUCUCACUAGUGUCUGAAGUCUGAAACCCUCUUGAGUGCUGAUGUAUCUGAGUGAUCAUAUAUGUAAUAUGUUGCUGUCACAAUGCUAAACUUUUGUGUAAAAAAAUAAAAUUUGGUCGAUGCCACAUUGAGAAAAAAAACACUUGUUCAAGUUGCAUGAUAGUUCCUCUACAUCAAACUGCUCGCCAAGCUAUUAUCCGUCUAUGUUAGUGGAGAUCUUGGAAUUUGAAACCAAACUUAUUGCAUCGUCAUGUUUUGUAUAGGUUUCAGUUUCCAGAAGCCUAUGCGUCCCUUGCCUCGGUCUACCACGGAACCAGGCGGACUCUCCAGUUUCCACCCGUGACAGCGCUUGAGAUCUGACACAUGCUCGCUUGUGAUGGUGGUCUGAAGCCUCAUGUCUCUCUGAAUAUGUCUGUAACGACAGUCCUAUUAGUUGUUACCACCAUAUUCAGUUUCCAGCUUUCUAUCCUUUGGUACUGUACUGGAAGCCUGCGUGUUUGUUGUUUGGCGAAACUCAUGAAAAUGGAUUUUAACUGCUGGGCAUUCUUUUGGAUGAGUAGUUGGACCUGAGCUUGGUUUAAAACCAGGGGAUAACACCUUUUGUUGCAUCUUCUCUUACCCUGUUGCAGUGUCUGUGUUUCAAAUCUUCGAGUUUGCCUGUCUGAUCGCACCACCCAGGAAGUUUGCUGGAGAAAAGAACCGCCCUGACAGAAACAAAGGCCAGGCAAAACAAUUUUUUUGUCUAAAUGGUCUGCUCAGCUUGAUGCAAAAUUCUUCUUGAUAUAUUGAUACUGAAUCACAAGAUGAGAAGCAUCUAUUUAUACCUCAUCUUGACUGCCUUGUACUCUCUCUGUUCCUAAAUAUAAUUUUAUUUAGAGAUUUCAAUAUAGACUACCUAUGUAUGUAUAUAGACGUAUUUUAGAGUGUAGAUCCACUCAUUUUGCUCCGUAUGCAACCCAUAUUGAAAUCUCUAAAAAGGCUUAUACUCUCUCCGUCCGAAAAUACUUGUCAUCAAAAUGGAUAAAAAGGGAUGUGUCUAGAACUAAUAUACGUCUAGAUACAUCCCCUUUUAUUCAUUUUGAUGACAAGUAUUUCCGGACGGAGGGAGUAUUUAGAAAGGGAGGGAGUAGUAGUCUUUAUGGCAGUUGCAUUCUGGACAUGCGUGGCUUGAAAAUUGCAACUCAUAAUGCUGCUUCAUUUCCGACUUAGGUUCAUCAAACAUUUCUUAUCUGUUAUAAGGACUAGGGCGAUCUGUACUUAUCGAUCAUAAAUAAAAUGAUUAGAGUUUAGAUGUUACACUUACAACAGACAUGCAAAUUUCCCCACAAAGAAAAACAAAAGCAAUACAAGUGCUGUGUUUGGCUCAAACAGCUUUAUUAUGUGAGGCAAAAUCAUCCGUCGCUCGCCACAACACCGUCGGCAGAAAACCGCAUAAAAAGGAGCUGAGGAAGAACAAAACAAAUGAAACACUAGAAUUUUCAUGUUGACUUGACCUUGUGAAAAAUAAUGUGUUUGCUACAUGUAAGUUACCUCAAAUAAUUUAAGAGCUAGUUAAUUCCGUGCAGCACUGAGGCAAAGACGGGCACAAUGGCAUACCUGGAACACACCGGAGAUGGAUACAACACGGUUGUCUACAGUGUUACUGAUGAACGAGAGUUUGAGGGUUGACAGUUGUGUGUAUGAGGGGGGGGGGGGGUGACCCCAAUGAAGAUAGGAAUUUAGGAUCUUUGGUACACAUACAAGCAACUUUUUACAGGUGAGUUGGCAACGUAUGAUUGAGAAACGAUAGGGAGGGGCCCCGAGCCUGAAAAGGCGGGGUGGUGUGCUAAUGAUGCCAGCCGCAGGUGAUGUGGAACGGCGGUUGGGUCGAUAGUGGAAGGCAGAUCAACAAUGGUGGAGGGCUGUCGGGAGACGAGAGAGGGGGAAUCCACUAAGAGCAACUCCAAUACCCCCCCCCCCUCCGCCCCCUAAGAAACUUCCCGUAAAACCACUUUUACGAAAUGAGCGUGGCCCUGAGCCAGUUAAUUCCGUUGACAACUUUUCAUGAAACAAAGCCAGUUAAUUUUUCAUGAAACUAGCCUAGAAAUGUUGGUGAUCUAGCGUGGCGGUGCCCGGCAAUGGCAUGGUGGUGGCAGCCCGACAUGGCGGCGCCUGACGGCAUGGUGUCGGCGACCCGACGCGACACAAGAGUCUCCUGUUGUGAAGUUUCAGACGGUUGUCCGCCCGCCAAAAUUAUACGGGUGGGCUUUCUUCUCGUAAACUUGCAAGACGGAAGAGGUGAUCAUAUGGUAUUUUGUAAAAAGAAAAUUGAGUUUACAGGAGCUGUUGAAGGGUUGUUUUUUAUCUCAACUUUGUCCCGUCGACGGUACUUUUUGUAGGGAUGCAAGAGCUAUUGGAGUUGCUCUAAUGCCAAUUUAUUUUCCGGGUAACUUACAAAUAACCGGGAAAUAAACCUGUUUUGUUUUUAGGAGAAAACAAAAUAUUAAUUAAGUAUAAAAAAGAGAAGAAAAUAUUAACCUCUUGUGUGUCCGUCGUUACACUUUCCAAAUUAAUAGUAUCAACCUUCCUACUAACUUAAGUUAGCUUUGACUUCUCCUUUUUCUCACUUGUAAUUUUUCUAGUUUAUCUACCGAUGGGAUUUAGAAUGGUGCCCCCUCUUUGCCUUUGGCACAUUAAAGACUCUGCUCCUCAAUGAGUGGUUCACGACUAUUGAUCUAGUAUGCAUUCUUCUACACUGUCCACUUCUUGAGAGGCUCACUCUUCAGCUUUAUGACACUAAGGUAUAUCAUGUAUAUAUAAAGAUGUCGAUGUGUUAUUAAAGGAAAUAUCAUGUGUGUUCAAUUGAUCUUACUAAAUGUUCUCAGUGUCUCACACAGAACCUCGUAGGAGCAACAACAACCCCAGAAACAGUUGAACAAUCAUUUGUUUGCUCCCACCUGGAGGUUGUGAACAUUGAAUGUAGAAAGAUUGGUGUGGUAAUUUGCAAAAUCUUGAAUAUCUUGAGUACAUUUGGUGUAGAUUAUAAGAAAAAACAGCAUCGAUGAAAAAUGUUCUCGCUCACAUCGCAAGUUACCUUUGUCAUGCAUCAUCGUCCAUAUGUUUCUCCAAUUUUUCUACUCUACAAACAUGUUUGAUGAACUUGCACAUUAACUAGAGAACAUUUAGUACCCAUUUGUAUCCAUAUCAUUCAUUAUGAAACCCUUUACAACCUGUGUAUGUUGUAUUUACUGCAUGCUGGUGAAGUUGAGAAUUGCUGCUAAGUUCUAGUGGUAGCAAAUACAAUGGUAACCACAUGUUGCCGUUCAUGCGUGUAAAUAAUCGGUAUCAUCCAUGCAGAGUUAUUUGGGAUUGGUUCCCUACUUUUUUACUGUUCAUUAUUAAUGAAGAUAUCAAAAGCUCUUGUUUUGGAAUUAACUUUAUCUGUGCUCCUAGUUGGUAGAUUACACUUGGCAUAUAUUCAGCAAGGGCAAGGAGGACUGCCUUUGCCUCUUUGUUUUCAGUUUUACUGUUGUUUCCAGCCUGUUGUCAGUCUGAAAUCCCUCUUCAGUUUAUGAGGUAUCUGAAUGGUCAUAUAUAUCUUGCACUCACAAGGGUAAACUCUAUGUUUACAAAAACAAUUGGUCAAGGAUACUUUUUGGUUAAAAUAAAAGAAAUUUGGUCAAGCGGCAUGAUAUUCUCCUAUCUAUCUAUACAAAUUGAGGUCAUCCUCAUGCCAAACUUAUUGUUUAUUGUCAUGUUGUUUUUUAGGUUUCAGUUUCUAGAACCAAAAGCAUGGGUAGCUUACAUCACUGGUGACGCCUAAGAUGUGUCCUCUGGCAUGAUGUUUGUCUAAAAUCCUUUUGUGUUUCUCCGUUGAGUCUAUAAUGGUGGCCCUUUGUUGGCUUUUAUCGCUACACUUAGUUUCUCAAUUUUGAUAUUUCGGUGAUGUGCUGGAACUUGGCUUUGUUGGUUGUUUGGUGCGACUCGGUAAUACAGUUUGUAGCUCGUUGAACUUAGAACAUUGCUAUGUUUCGUUAUAUCGGUAACGCACAUCAGGCUGGUGUGCCCUGUUUGAGUCCAUUAAUUCUUUCUGAUGGAGCUUUACUUCAACUAUUAUUUCGGCAUAAACUGUUUACCUGUUGAGCUUCUUAUGGAUGAGAUGUUGGACCUGAACAUGGUUUAUGGAGCCAAGUGUCAACGCCUAGUUUUUUUUGCUUUGCACUAGUAAGAUACCCGGCCUAGAAUUUUUGGAACUACCAGGCGUAGGGCUGGAAAAAAAGCUCAAAGCUCGUGAGCUAAACGAGUAGCUCGUGACUCGGCUCGAAUCGAUUCGAACUCGAAGAAUAACGAGUCGAGUCGAGCUUUAGUUUAAGAUCAUUUGUAGACCAAGUUAAACGAGCCAAUCUCACGAGUACUCGUGUAACUCGUUAGGCUCGGUACAAAAGAUCAGCCACUCUCAAUAUAAAAAAAAAUCAGCCACUCAGCACCCUAUGUUCCAGGCGCACAACACAAGGCCUAGCCGUUGAAGGCCCAACCGCCUAGGAGACUCAUGCGUUACAAGAAAAUUACUAUUGUUUAGUGAUAUAUAUGUUUAAUAUAUACAUAUAAUUUUAAUAAUGUUUGAGGGUUUUAUGUUCAUAUCUUUAACGGGCUUAACAAGCUAAACGAGCCAGCUCGCGAGUUAUACGAGUCGAGCCAAUCUUGGAUUUGAGCUCGUUAAUAAUAACGAGUCGAGUUGAGCUAGCUCGUUAACGAAACGAGCUCUAGCGAGUCGAGCCGAGCUGGCUCGACUCGGCUCGAAUUCCAGCCCUAACCAGGCGACUGGAUUUGCGCAUACUAGGUCGGCACCCUUGUCCUUUUGAUUUUUCGCCACAGAUCAAUCUUUAGAUCAUAUUACUAGGAAAGAAACAGAUAAUUAAACGACAUAUUUAAAGGGGGGGAACGGUUCGGCCGAGAAAAUAGGAUCUCGCUCCCGUGUCGCUCCUGGGCGGCACCGGGGCGUCCCCAUCCUCGCCGCCGGUCUACCCUCGUCUUCCACUCCUUGCCGCCACCGUUGCCGGUGAGCGCGGUGGCGGCGGGGCCUGCUCCUUCUAGGUCGCAGACGCGUGAGGAUUGAGUCUGCACAUCAAAGCUAUGGAUUGCUGUGCCGGCUUACCCACACCGAGCGGCCCUGGCAGCGGCCGCCGCGCAAGCUCGUACUGGCGUGCAGGUUGUCUGCGGAAACUGGGCCGGGCUGGACGGGGUAAUCCCUUGGUUUGACUGCCAUGGGCGGCGUGGAUGUGGAGCCUCUGAUCUAGCCUGGCGAAGCCAUAUCCAGUCAUCUCCUCCUCCGGUUGGGUGACAAUCCUGCUCCUCCAAAUUGUGGCGUGGCAUCAGGGAUAAGGAUGGUAAUAGGUAGGGUAUGGGCAGGGUAGAGCUGAGAUAAUUAAUGACUAAUUGAUGACAAAUUAACAUUAGUUUACAAACGGGUAGGGUAUGGGUAUACCCGCGGGUACAAGGCUAUACCCGUACCCUGCCCAUGACUUAAUGGGUAGGGUAUGGGUACUACCCAUGGGUAUAAAAGUGUGCCCAUACCCUGCUCAUGCGAGUACGAUACUCACGGGUACCCAUACCCGUGGGUAAAAUUGCCAUCCUUAAUCAGGGUCAUUGAUAGCACAUUUGACAAUUUUUUUAUCUCAGCUCAACAACAGGUAGAUGAGUAAAUGACCAAUAUCAAAAUUUAGAAACCACAACAUACUUUUAAGUCAAUAGGAGUAGACGAGUCACAUAACAAACUAAUGACUAAUUGAUGACAAAUUAACAUUAGUUCACAAACGGGUAGGGUAUGGGUAUACCUGCGGGUACAAGGCUAUACCCAUACCCUGCCCAUGACUUAACGGGCAGGGUAUGAAUACUACCCAUGGGUAUAAAAGUGUGCCCAUACCCUGCCCAUGCGAGUACGAUACCCACGGGUACCCAUACCCGUGGGUAAAAUUGCCAUCCUUAUCAAUGAGCGUAAAAGGGAAUCCCAAUGAGGUGUUCUGCAUGGCGGCCCUGCUGGUCCUUGUGGUGGACUCCGUCCUUCAAGAUCUAUCGGUCGGGAGGCAUGGUGCUGAUUUGGCGGCUAGUUGUGUGCUCUUGAUCUUGCGGUGGCUACGUGACGGAUAUAGGCUGAGCUCUCUCCGGCGAAGUGACAAUCAGCAAUGGGUGCUCCAUCCUAGGUGGUUGGUCCUUGUGGUGACAACUCCGGCCUGCGAUGGUAGCCUCGCCGCAGAUUGUGGUGACUACCGAAAGGUCUUCAUGAGAGUUCCUCUCUUCAGACCCGGUACUUGACUUCAGUUGUGAGAUGCAAACUAUCGACAACGACUUGACGCAGAGGGAUUGUUGUACAGCGGCGGCGAACGCGCAUGUAGCUGGGGUCGCGAGAAAGUGGUGGUGACAACACAUAAGGGACGUUGAUGGGGGUGCCACUCGAGCACCCAGGCUCGAGCUCCAGCGUGAAAACUUAGGUCUGACCCGAGUUGGUUAAACCUGACAAUGGCGAUAUUUUUAUGUCGUUACCUUGUUGAAGGCAUUGCUCGGAUAUGCUUGGACUGUUUCUUCAGGGUGAAAACUUAGAUCUGACCUUGGAUGUUUGGAUCUGGUGACGGCGAUGAUGAGCAUCGCUCCCUUCUUAAAGGCGUUGCUGUUGAAGAAUCUCGUUGUUCGUUUGGUGUCAUGAGAUGGUUGGUGCCAAUAUGGUCAUUGUUGUAGUUUGCCGAUCAUGGAUCUGAUAGCUUUGUCAUUUUUCCUCGCCUACACAUAGCUUUGGUCUCAUAUACUUUGCUAUUUUGCUGGCGUUUUAUUUGUGUGCGUGUGUUUUUAUUGGUUGUGUGCAUCCUAGCUAUGCAGAGGCCGGUUGUGGGUUCAUUGUGUUUGUAUCCUCUUGAUGCUUCAUUUUAAGCUAAUAAAAUACAUCCUUUAUCGGAAAAAAAUUAAACGACAUAUUACGUGACCGUCAUACCAGGUCUCCAUUGCGCCAGACAUGAGCAUGUUGACGAUCCUUUUACACGUGAGAUUGCAAAAUUUUAGUCCAGAUUCUUUUGGGAUGGUGAGGGAGAUAAACAAAAAUAUCACAUGGUCCGAUGUACUGACAUUUGUUGACCUAAAGACCAGGGUGAUCUGGGGAUGAUGCCGUCCAAGUGUAUGAAUAUCGCGCUGCUAAAGAAAUGGUUGUGGCGCAUUGCAAAUAACGAUGGCGGGCUAUGGUUAGAUAUUAUCAAGGCCAAAUAUCUGAGGGGCCGGCCUCUUGCGUUCUGCCAACGCCGGAGGGUCCCAGUUCUGGCAAUCUAUCAUCCAGCUACUCCCCAUCCUCCGUAUUGGGUCCUCGAUCUCGGUGGGGUCUGGGUCAUCAACCCUCUUUUGGCUCGAUCGGUGGGCGGGUGAGCAACCCUUUGCCUCCCGAUUUUUGGAGUCAUUCUCCAUAUGUGUAGCCCCUCGAAUCUCUUUCGAGGCUGCCCUUAUUGAUCUAGGGAGCAUCAUUUUCUGGCAUGCCUUCGGCCCUCCCGAGCAGGCGGUCUGGGAAGAUAUGUUGGAUUGUGUUGCUCUACACACUCCCAGCUUAGAACCGGACCACGUCUCCUGGCGCCUUGAGUGGAGCAGCUAAUUUUCUACUAGGUCGCUCUACCAAGCCAUUGUGGCUGCCCCUAGCCCGGAGCCUCUUGGCCUGCUUUGGUAGGUUAGGCUGUCGUUAAAGAUUAGGAUAUUCCUAUGGUAGUGGAUUCGCGGCCAAGUCCCUUCAAAGGUGGAGGCACUAAAACACAAUGGCCCCGGGGAUGGAAUUUUCCCUUUGUGCGAAACGGACGAGGAAUCCAACCAUAUUUUCUUCUCUUGUGUUAUGGCUCAAUUCCUUUGGAGUUGCUUCAGGGAAGUUGUGGGUGGUGGGUGGUUCCACACAAACUUCCCCAAUCUCUACGAGGAAUUACAAGCUUUCUCGGUGGGCUCCCACCACAUUAGGUGGCUUGGGAUUGGGAUUCUCGCGUGGACGUUGUGGAUGAUACAUAACAAACUUGUCAUCAAGUGAUCUCCCUUGCGGCGGACUACUGAUGCUAUUAACAAACUAUGUGGUUUCUUGCAGCUAUGGAAGUCACUUAGCCGGGGACAGGAGCGUGGCGCUAUCGAUUCUCUCACUGCAGGUCUCAGAUCCUUGGCUCUCUGUUUGGCGCCUCCUUUCCCUCCGCCAUUACCGGCCCGGACUAGCUCUCUAGAGACCCCUCGUGGCCUAUACCUUCUUUGUUAUGUUGUGCUUGUUCAGCUGGUGCCAUCAGCAGAACCCUUUUUUUGUGCUACCUCUUAUUUGUGUACUUGGGUGUGAUGUGUGUAGCGUUUGUUACCUUGCUGGAACUUUUUUUAGAAAUGGAGGAGGACCCCCGGCUUCUGCAUCUGGACGAUGCAUGCAGCCACUUUAUUAAUUAUUCACACAAGACUUUACAAAGUCAUACAAAAGUAAGAAUAAAGCCACCGUCUAGGCAACAUUUGUCGCUACUCCUAUCCAGUUGAUGAAGGGAUGCUGAUAGUCUGGGCCUAAUACCAAACAGACCUCGCAUCCAAACCUAACAUCUAAGACCUGUGGUCCCAACCAGGACGCCUGUCGGGUAUGGGGCACCCACCAGUCUGGCGCACUCCUCAACCUGGACGCUUGCCGGGUAUGAGGCCGCCGCAGCCACCUGCCACCAAUCCAUCUUUAGUAUUGUACUACCACAUGUACCUUGCCCGGUCUAGCUACCGUCGACACCACCACGACGCCAGCCAACGCCACCAUCCUGCGCUUGUCCAUCAUCAUACGCCCACCGGCAAGACCCCACUGCUCCAUGUCACUGAGGCCCGCCGUUGUCGACCUGUCAGAUACCACGCCGCUCCUCCUCUUGUCCCCUCCAGCCAACACUUGCUCCAAAACGAUGCCCCCAGGAGGGAAAACGACAUCGAAACGUCGCCAUCAUCCGAUCCAGUAGAUCCAGAUCUAGGGUUUCCCCCGGAACCUUCCAAUCAGGUUGACGUGACCUGCAACGACGAUCAGGUUGACGUGACCUUGCUGGAACUUGGUUGUGCUUAUGGUGGUUUGUUUUAUAUAUAAAACAAGGCGAAAGCCUUUUUUGAUUUUAUGAGUGAACUUCUUGGAUGCCUUGAAGGUCUAAAGGCUGCAAGAAGAAAGGGUACAGAGGAUUAUUCAAAUGGACGGUGUCCAUUUUUUAUUUGAGAAUGAGGGAGUAUUAUUUUUGAGAACAAAAGAGUAUACACACACUACUCUUUUGGAGUACUACAUUCCGCAGUCGUCGGGACACGAAGGCUCGCAGGGACGUCGGCAAUCACUUGGGGCGUGUUUAGUUCCAGUUUGGAGCAGUAGUCACAUUGCAUACCCUUCUCAACCCAGCCUGGUUGAGGAAAAACAGGCCCUAAUACGCCAUAUGCAACUUGUUUGGUUGCCUGUAUCCACUACAAAAAAAUACACUUCCGUGAUGGUACGUGUUUGUCACAGUAGGUCGCGUUUUUUUUCAUGCAUGUACAUCCAUGAAAAAUUUAUGACAGAAUCAAGAUAGUCAUACCUGUGCUGUCGUAGAAGUGUUCCAUGACAUUACCAAAAUUAUCAUCACGGAAGUGUCCACUUCCAUGACGAUAAAUCGUGCGUCAAAGAAGUGCUUUCGUCAAGGGUGACCGACACGUGGCAUCCACCGUAACGGAACGCUGUUAAGCUAUCGGGUCGGGUUUUGGAUCCGAUAACCCGUUAACAGCCCCGACCAAUGGGAAAUUUCCACGUGUAAAAUUCUUAUUGGCCGGACGAAACACGUGUCAGCUCGUCAGUGGGUCAGGUAGGCGCCUAUGAUACAUCGACACGUGGCAUGGCCCAACAGAGGCCCAUUCCUGUGAAAAGGCCGACCCGUUUGACUUGGUCAAAAGCUGGCGGGCCGUCCCAUGGAAAGCCUGUUAACGGCCUGUUCGAAUAUAGCCCAUUUACAGCCCGCUAACCCAAGGCCCGUUAUGCCCUAUCCGAAUUAGGCCCAGUAGCGUCAUCUGGGCCAUCCAAUAUGAUUCCAGCCCAUUUUCACUUCUGGCCCAUGUAUGGCCCAUGACGUCUUUCGGCCCAUAUGAGGCCCUAUGUAACUCUUGGCCUACUAACGGCCCGUGGUGAAACUGGCCCGUAAUGAACAGUGUAUCACUUUGCACCCAUUAACGGCCCGUGGUGAAACUGGCCUAUAAUGAACAGUGUAUCACUUUAUACCCAUUAACGGCCCGUUAUUCUGUUGGGCCGUUUCCAGCCCAUGUUAUCUUUCGGCCUUCUCAGAGCCCAUUUAUUCUUGGGCUCAUUUCCAGCAUUCGUUUACUUAUGGUCCGUUACUGUCAUUUUCUUCUUGUGGGCCAAAUUCAGCCCGUGGUUACAGUUGGCCCGUUUGUGGUCCGUUAAUACGUUGGGCCGAUUUCAUAGCGUCAUCAAAUACGGCCUAUUAACGAUGGCCCGUUAUGGUCGGCCCAUGAACGGACGAUUCCAACUCUAGCCUGUUUAUGGCCAUAAUGCGGUCUGUUUGGCCCAUGUUUGGCCAAUCGAUUAUACGGCCCGUAUAAGGCCCAUUUAUAAUACGGCUCACAGAAGGCCCAUUGUUUCUACGGCCCGUAGAAGGCCCAUUGUUUCUAUGACCUGUAGAAGGACCACUGUUUCUACGGCCAGUAGGAGGCCCAGUGUCACUACAUUAAAUAUUAGCCCAUGGUUAUUGUGGCCUAGUUUUAAAAAAUAGGUUAUUGCAGCCACUAGCUAACCGUGGAAAAAGAACUGCAAUGACUACAAGCAAACAAAUAAACAAGACAACAAGGAAAUAAAUAAGCAAGCAACUAACGCUAGGCUAUCACGGCUAUUACACAUAUUACAUCCACUGGGCAUCAAAGUUCGCCACCAGUGCAAAUAUAGGGAACAAAGCAGCAUAUCAUAUACACUGGUUGUCAAAGUUGGCGACUGUAACACUCUCGAUGCGGCUAUAUCUCCCAUGUGUCGAAGCACGACUUAGAGGCAUAACCGCAUUGAAAGCAAUGUCGCAAGUGAGGUAAUCUUCACACAACCCAUGUAAUACAUAAGAGAAAGAGAUACAUAGUUGGCUUACAAUCGCCACUUCACACAAUACAUGAAUAAAGCAUUACAUCAGCCAGAUACACACAAGGUCCGGCUACGGAACCAAAAUAAAAAAGAAGACUACCCCAAAUGCUACACAGAUCCCCGAUCGUCCCAUCUGGGCUCCACUACUGAUCGACUGAAACAAAACAACACAAUGGACAAGAUCUUCAUCGAGCUCCUCCUGAGCUUGGUUGCGUCACCCGCACAGUAACAUCGGCACCUGCAAACUGGUUUUGGAAGUAACUGUGAGUCACGGGGACUCAGCAAUCUCACACCCUCGCGAUCAAGACUAUUUAAACUCAUGGGUAAGGUAAAGGUAUGAUGUGGAGCUGCAGCAAGCAACUAGCAUAUAUAUGGUGGCUAACCUAUUCGCAAAAGAGAGCAAGAAGAGAAGGUAAAGCACAGUGGAACAACUAUGAUCAAGAAGUGAUCCUAGAACAACCUACGUCAAGCAUAACUCCAACACCGUGUUCACUUCCCGGACUCCGCCAAGAAGAGACCAUCACGGCUACACACGCGGUUGAUGUAUUUUAAUUAAGAUCAACUUUAGGUUUUCUACAACCGGACAUUAACAAAUUCCCAUCUGCCCAUAACCUGUAACAUCCCAAAUUUUCAAUUUGGAAUGUUAUACAUUAGAUCAUCAUUGCAUAUCAUAUUUUAUUUUGCAUUUUGGUUGAUCCUAGAAAAUUCUACGCAACUCAAUGACCCACGGAGAGAGUUGGGGAUUUCGUUAUUUUCAUAUUUGAGUUUUCUCAAAUUUUGAGAAUAGGAUCAUUUGAUUUUAUUUAUUUUAUCAUCAAUUAUUUAUAUUACAAAAAUAUGAGAGAGGGAAUAAAAUGACUUUCCCAAAAUAAAGAAAUAUCGAGGAUUUAAUAAUAAAAUCAAAUAAGAUUUUAUUUUGGAGUUUUUCGAUGUUUUAUUUGAAUUUAGGAAAAAUGUGCAUUUUUCAAAAUUGCAUUUAGGGCCCAAAUAAAUGUUCACUUUGUCGGGCUUGAUUUUAGAAGCCUGGAAAAAUUUAUUUCGGGAUUUUUGGAGUCCGUUUAGUAUUUCUUUUUAUUUUUUCUUCCGAGCAGAAUAUUUAAAAAAAAGGGGGAACCGACCUAAUCGGGCCGUGUCCGGAUAGGACUCUGGCCCGGCAGGCUUUAAAAGCCGGCCCAGCCCCGGGGAGGAACCCUAGCCCCAGCCCCGAGCCNNNNNNNNNNNNNNNNNNNNNNNNNNNNNNNNNNNNNNNNNNNNNNNNNNNNNNNNNNNNNNNNNNNNNNNNNNNNNNNNNNNNNNNNNNNNNNNNNNNNNNNNNNNNNNNNNNNNNNNNNNNNNNNNNNNNNNNNNNNNNNNNNNNNNNNNNNNNNNNNNNNNNNNNNNNNNNNNNNNNNNNNNNNNNNNNNNNNNNNNNNNNNNNNNNNNNNNNNNNNNNNNNNNNNNNNNNNNNNNNNNNNNNNNNNNNNNNNNNNNNNNNNNNNNNNNNNNNNNNNNNNNNNNNNNNNNNNNNNNNNNNNNNNNNNNNNNNNNNNNNNNNNNNNNNNNNNNNNNNNNNNNNNNNNNNNNNNNNNNNNNNNNNNNNNNNNNNNNNNNNNNNNNNNNNNNNNNNNNNNNNNNNNNNNNNNNNNNNNNNNNNNNNNNNNNNNNNNNNNNNNNNNNNNNNNNNNNNNNNNNNNNNNNNNNNNNNNNNNNNNNNNNNNNNNNNNNNNNNNNNNNNNNNNNNNNNNNNNNNNNNNNNNNNNNNNNNNNNNNNNNNNNNNNNNNNNNNNNNNNNNNNNNNNNNNNNNNNNNNNNNNNNNNNNNNNNNNNNNNNNNNNNNNNNNNNNNNNNNNNNNNNNNNNNNNNNNNNNNNNNNNNNNNNNNNNNNNGUCUCGUAAUCCGUGCCGCCCGUUUUUUUAGAAAACCGAUUGGUUUUCCGUCGUUUUUUAGUUUUCGUUUUUUUAUUAGAUCAGUUUUUUUCGCUUUAGGUUAAAUAGCGAGCGUUCGCUCGUUUGUUCGUUUAAACGAACACGUUCAUCGUUUAGAUCUGGAUAACGAACGUUCGUUCAUUAAUCCGUUCGUCGUUUUCUUUUUCUCAGAUUAAAUCCGCGAUUUUUCUGAUCGCGAUUCCUGAUCCGAUUUUCGUUUUAGUAUAACUUUUCGCUCGUUUAUCGGAAUCAGGCGAUUCAAGCACCUAGAGUUUCGUCUCGAAACCCUCUAUCCGUUUAACCAACUUAAACAAGGUUUUGCUAUUGCAAAACUUGCCCUAGAUCUAGAUUACUAGAACAAAGUUGUUAUUUUCGCCGUUUGACUUUCGUUGCUUCGUUCAAUUUGAUUCUUUUUGCCAACCAGAGUUCUUAAGUUGAACCUUCUGGUUAGAUCUCUUAUUUGAGUUUUACCUGUGCAUUAGAUGAGUACUUAUUGUAUGCUUGUUUGUUUGUCUGUGAUAGAGUACCCAGAGUGCGCCGCGUGUUACUUCGAAUCGUUAGGUUUCGCGGAUCAUCAGCAAGGCAAGUAACACUUUGAUCAUACCUUUUCUACUACCCAGUUUUAUUGCAUUAGAUCAAAUCCUCACACAUUGCAUGUUUAGGAUCUAAUUAAAUUGUGGGAUGGGAAGUAGAUGAGGUAGUACCUAUUACCUGUGUAUUGUCAAACCUUUGGGAGUUACUUCUACGUUUGCUUAUUAUGCCAUGCUAUGCUAGUAGACGUGGAUUGGGUGAGUGAUAUCCAUGACAGAUGUGAGUUUUGUUAAUUAAUGGUUUAUCUAAGGUGGCAACUUAAACACACAUCUGGGUGGAUUGAGGCACCUGGGUAUUCCAGGACUUGCCUGUUUUCUUUUGGACCGCCACCCAGGCUCAAAGGGAUCAUGAGACUAUUCAUACUAGAAACUUCCGUGUGCAGCCACAAGCUAUUAUGGGCUCUAGCAUAGUUGACUAAGUUGUGCGAACUCUUACAGUGGUAGACUAGCAGAUGUAGGGGAUGUAGGUGGUACAGUCUACCCGAUCGUAAGGUGCUAGCGCUUCUGAAAGACUAUGUCUCGGUAAUCCAUCUUCUCAAACAUCAUGUAGUGCGAGAAAUCAAACGGAGGCGAUCGAGUCUUGUGGGGAAAAGUGCACAAACCUCUGCAGAGUGUAACAAACUAAUCAUGAUUAGUCGUGUCCCCGGUUAUGGACAUCUUGAGUAUCUAGUACUUGGAUUAUCAUGUGAAUCUCAACAUGUUACUCUAAAUUAAUUUUGUUGGGUUAUGUUUAAUGAUGAUGCUUAAUUGGGAUUGAGAAUGCUGUCAACCAUUCUCAAUGUUUAACAACCACCAUGAUAGUAAUUAAAUUUUAUUCCUUUGAAGUAGGGAAAAAUUGGCUUUACGCAAAACUGUAACCAUAGAGCUUUCCACCAGCCAAAUAUGCAUGUAGUAUAGCUGUUGCAUUCCAUUACUCUCUAUGUGUUACCUUGCCAGCAUAUUCCAUGUGCUGACCCGUUUUCGGGCUGCAACGUUAAUGUUGCAGACUUUUCAGACGACGAUUAAGGAGUUUUAGGUCGUGGUCCUAUACUCAGUGAUGCCGUUGGAGUUGAUGGACUCACUUAUAUUCCAAGCCUUCCGCUGUUAUCGUUAUUAGAUGGCCUUAAGCCUUAUUUAUUGUAAUAAGUUCUCUUUUGAGACACUCGAUGUAAUAAGUGUGUGAUUGCUACUCUGCUAUAAAUCCUCCGAGUACUGUGUGGUGUCAGCAUUACUGAUCCAGGGAUGACACCGGAGCACAGAGAUCGGACCGUUUGAGGUCUGGUCGCUACAGAGAUGGUAUCAGAGCACACGCUGACUGUAGGACACGACCACUAAACUACAGACCUAGAUCACUCUCUUCUUUUCUGACUUCUCAUCUUUUCUACUCUUUAGGAUGGCGGAUGCAAGGAACAAGUUCACACAACCGGAUGAAGAUACACCCUUUGGACGUCACUUGAAGGAAGUCACUAGAUACCUGAACAUAGGAGUACCAAGCUUCACGGGAACCUACAACGCCACUUUACCUGAAGAAGAGCGCUGGAUGAUUCAAGUUCAAGUUCCAGGAAGGACGUUCAUGCCAGUCACUGAGCCCAUAGAGUUUUCAUUUGAUGCACCAACUUGGAGUCUAGGAAAGAGCAUGGCAGCUCACAUCACCAUGGGACACAUUGGAGAAGUCUACCGCAAGGAUCUUAAGGAUACUAUCUACCAGAUUUGUGGGUGCCGAGAUGAACACUGGGAGAUGAUUAGCACCGGGAAGGAUAGAUCAAUUGCAGCUUUUAUCCAGGAGCUAAACCAGCACAUUCGACGAUAGGAGAACAAGAUGUGCGCUGACAUGAUAGAUCUGAAGAAGGCUAAGACUAGAAUCAAGGAACUAGAGGAAGAACUCAAGGCUACACGUGAAGAUUAUGAAGAGGAAAUUGAAGUAUUGGUGGAGAAGAAUGAUGACUUGAUCAAGAAGAUUGGAAUAUUUAUGAGAGGCCCGACACCCGUAGAUGAAGACGAAGAACCUAAGGAAAUUAGCCCGGAAGACUACAUCAUCAUCGACGGCACCGACUCGAAAUCAGAUAGUAGCAAUGAUGACUACGUUGAUGAAGCUGGAGCAGAUAUUAUGGAGUCAACGACCGUAGAAUAUUUCUAGUAGACCACCUCCUCAGUAGUAGUAGUUCACCAUGUAAAUAUAGUAGCUCGAGCACUUUUGCAAUAGAUAAAUCAAUUGUAUGCCUUUGUUUGAUUGAAUGAAAUGAAUUGUUUGCUUUUGCCUCAUGUGCAUAUGGGUAGUGUUUUCUCUUCAGACCCUCUCUAUUCUUAUAUCUCAUCUUUUCUAAACCCUCAGAUGCCUUCGAGACGUGACCCCGGUUUUGCUUUCCCACCGGAGCUCACUCAGUUGAUCCAGCAGCAGAACACAUUGAUGCAGUUGCUAGUCCAGAAUCAGAAUCAGGGGAACAAUAACAACAACCCACCACCACCACCACCUAUUGACCACUUAGCCCGUUUUCUUAGGCUGAAUCCGCCGGUGUUUUCCAGUAGUACUGAGCCGAUAGUAGCAGAUGAUUGGCUCCGCAAGACAGCUAGGGAGUUGACCAUCGCAGGAUGCAUAGAUGUGGAGAAGGUGAAGUUUGCCGCACAUCAGUUAGAAGGACCCGCAACACCAUGGUGGGAGAAUUUCAUAGCCACUUUCCCAGUCGACACUGUCACAUGGGACCAGUUUCAGCAAGCUUUCCGUACUGCCCAUGUUUUAGCAGGAGCUAUGGCCAUGAAGAAGCAUGAGUUUCGCAACUUGUGCCAAGGAGGAAGGACAGCUGGCCAGUAUGUGGAGGAAUUUAGUAAGCUAGCACGUUAUGCCCCAGAUGACGUCGCUACGGAUGCAGCUAAGCAGGAGAAGUUUCUGGAAGGACUGAAUGAUGAGUUGAGCAUGCAGUUGAUGGUAGCAACCUUCAACAACUACCAGGAGUUGGUAGAUCGUGCUCUUAUGAUUGAAGGGAAGCAGCAGCAAAUUGAGAACCGCAAGAGGAAGUAUGGACAAGGAAAGUACAAUUCAGGAGCUCAACAGAAGCCACGUUUUACCCCUAGACCAGGAGGACAUUUUCAGCAUACCCAUGGAGGAGGUAGCUCGCACAAUCACAAUGGCACCAAGAAUGGUAAUGGCAAUGGAGGAAGCAACGGCCAGAACCGCACCAACCCCUCAACCCCAGCCAAGAAGGACCUAAGCCAAGUCACUUGCUAUAAGUGUUCGAAGACCGGACAUUAUGCCAAUGAAUGUCCUGAAGGCCAAAAUGGCAAUGGAAGUUCUGGGAAGAAGCCGAACCCUUUCAAUAGGGGACAGGUGAACCACGUUAGCGUGGAGGAGGUUGAAGCUCAGCCUGAUGCAGUAAUAGGUAAGUUUUUGGUUAAGUCAUUUACUGCACUCGUUCUUUUUGAUACUGGCGCAUCGCAUUCAUACAUCUCAAGGGGAUUUGUGGAUAAGUAUAACCUAUCAACCCAAGCCCUUAGGUCACCCAUGUUAGUAACCUCGCCCGGAGCAGAGUAUGUGGCUAGUCUAUGGUGUGAUCGGUUACCAUUAAGGAUUGGUAACUAUGUUUUUCCCUCAGACCUAAUAGUAUUGGAAUCUCAAGGAUUGGAUGUGAUAUUAGGCAUGGAUUGGUUAUCAAAGUAUGAAGGGAAUAUUGAGUGUGCUAGUAAGUCAAUUUUGCUUACCACCCCAGAAGGGAGAAGGAUCAAGUAUGUAUCCCGGCAUGUGCCAAAGAGGACUCAAGUAAAUUGCCUAACAUGAGUUGUGCAGGAGGAAGUACCAGUGGUAAGAGAUUUCCCUGAUGUAUUUCCAGAAGAGUUGCCAGGCAUGCCACCGGAUAGAGAUAUUGAGUUUUUGAUUGAGCUAUUGCCAGGCACAGGGCCAAUAUCAAAGAGACCAUAUAGGAUGCCGGCAAAGGAUUUGGUGGAAAUUAAGAAGCAGAUUAAGGAGUUAUUGGAUAAAGGAUAUAUUCGCCCAAGUUCUUCACCUUGGGGAUCGCCAGUACUUCUAGUGGAGAAGAAGGAUGGAUCGUUAAGGAUGGUUGUUGAUUAUCGAGGAUUGAAUGAAGUAACGAUCAAGAACAAGUACCCACUACCAAUGAUCAACGAUCUGUUUGAUCGAUUGCAAGGAGCUAAGGUAUUUUCCAAGAUCGAUCUACGAUCAGGAUACCACCAGUUGAAGAUUCGAGAACAUGAUAUUCCAAAGACAGCUUUUACUACCAGGUAUGGACUGUAUGAGUAUAUCGUUAUGUCAUUUUGUCUGACUAACGCACCUGCCUACUUUAUGAACAUGAUGAACAAAGUGUUUAUGGAGUUUUUGGAUAAGUUCGUCGUAGUGUUCAUUGAUGAUAUCCUGGUUUAUUCGAAGAAUGAAGAGGAACAUAAGGAGCAUUUGCGUUUGGUACUUGGAAAGCUCAGAGCACAUCAAUUAUAUGCCAAGUUCAGCAAAUGUGAGUUUUGGUUGAAGGAAGUAGGAUUCCUUGGACAUGUUAUAUCUAGAGAAGGUAUAACAGUAGAUCCCGCUAAAGUUGAAACCGUGACCAAGUGGGAAGCCCCAACAACAGUUGGAGAGAUCCGGAGUUUUCUUGGACUCGCAGGAUACUACCGGAGAUUUAUUGAGAAUUUCUCAAAAAUUGCGAAGCCUAUGACUGAGUUGUUGAAGAAAGAUACCAAGUUCAUAUGGACGGAGGAAUGUGAGGCUAGUUUCCAGGAGUUGAAGAAACGUUUGGUUACCUCACCAGUGUUGAUUUUGCCAGACCAGACCAAAGAUUAUGAGGUGUACUGCGACGCUUCACGUCGAGGACUUGGAGCAGUACUUAUGCAGGAAGGGAGAGUUGUUUCAUAUGCCUCAAGACAACUGAAGCCUCAUGAGUUGAAUUAUGCCACGCAUGAUUUGGAGUUAGCAGCCGUAGUGCAUGCGUUGAAAACAUGGAGACAUUUUCUCAUUGGAAACCAUUGUGAGGUGUACACGGAUCAUAAGAGUUUGAAGUACAUCUUCACACAGAAGGAGUUGAAUCUCAGACAAAGGAGAUGGUUGGAGCUUAUCAAGGAUUAUGAUAUGAAAUUGCAUUAUCACCCCGGAAAGGCUAAUGUAGUAGCUGACGCAUUAAGCCGCAAGAGCCAUGUCAAUACAUUAAUGACGGGAGAAAUACCCAAGGAGUUAGCAGAAAAUCUUCGUGAACUAUGUUUGGAAAUAGUUCCGAGAGGCUAUGUAGCAACAUUGGAGAUUCAGUCAACCUUGAUGGAUAGAAUCAGAGAAGCUCAGAAACUGACAAAGAGAUUGCCGCUAUAAAAGAGAAACUAAGCAAAGGAAAAGCUAAAGGAUUUCGUGAGGAUGAGCACGACACCCUAUGGUUUGAAGACCGUAUUUAUGUGCCCAAUGACCCGGAGAUCAGGAAGUUGAUUUUGCAAGAGGCACACGAUUCACCGUAUUCAAUUCACCCAAGAAAUACCAAGAUGUAUUUAGAUUUGAAGGACAUUUUCUGGUGGACCGGAAUGAAGAAGGAUAUUGCGGAGUAUGUAGCAGUUUGUGAUGUAUGUCAGAGAGUAAAGGUAGAGCAUCAGAAGCCAGCAGGGUUGUUACAACCAUUGCCGAUACCCGAAUGGAAGUGGGAUAAGCUAGGCAUGGAUUUUAUCAUGGGAUUGCCCAGGACUCGUUCAGGCUAUGACUCAAUUUUGAUUGUAGUUGAUCGAUUGAUGAAAGUAGCUCAUUUCAUCCCAGUAAAGACCACUUACACCAGUGCUAAGUUGGCAAAGAUAUACAUGACCAGAAUAGUAUGUCUGCAUGGAGUUCUAAGGAGUAUCGUAUCAGAUAGAGGAACCCAGUUUACCUCAAAGAUCUGGAAGCAGUUGCACGAAACUUUGGGUACCAGGCUAGAAUUCAGUACAGCUUUUCAUCCACAGACAGAUGGAUAGACCAAGAGAGUCAAUCAGAUUUUGGAGGAUAUGCUGAGAGCUUGUGUGCUAGAUUACGGAUCUAGUUGGGACGAUAAUUUGCCAUAUGCAGAGUUCUCUUACAACAACAGUUAUCAAACCAGUUUUAAAAUGGCCCCUUUCCAAGCUUUGUACGGAAGGAGGUGCAGGACACCGCUGUCGUGGGACGAAGUUGGAGACCGCCAGUUGUUUGGUCCUGACUUGAUUAAAGAGUCUGAACAGAAGAUGAAAUUGAUUCGCGAUAGGCUCACGGUAGCCCAGUCCAGACAGAAGAGUUAUGCGGAUUCUAAACGCAAGGAGACAGUUUACGAAGUUGGAGAUAGAGCUUAUCUUCGAGUAUCUCCACUUCGGGGAACAAAACGUUUUGGAGUUAAAGGGAAGUUAGCGCCAUGAUUUGUAGGACCAUAUCGAGUUUUGGAACAUAUGGGGGAAGUGGCCUACAAGUUGGAAUUGCCCGAAGGAUUGUCAGGAGUUCAUGAUGUGUUCCACGUUUCUCAAGUAAAGAAAUGUCACACGGAGAUGGCUGACAUACCAUUGAGAGACACAAUACCUUUGGAAAAUAUUCAGUUGGAUAACGAUUUGACCUACGAGGAGAAACCAGUCAAGAUUCUCGAGUUUGCCAGUCGAGUCACUCGCAGCAAGGUUAUCAAAUUUUGUAAAGUUCAGUGGAGCAACCACACGGAGGAUGAAGCCACCUGGGAGCGAGAGGAAGAUUUGUUCAAAGACCACCCUCACCUAUUUUCUAGCCAACCCAAAUCUCGAGGGCGAGAUUCAUCUUAAGGGGGGUAGGUUUGUAACAUCCCAAAUUUUCAAUUUGGAAUGUUAUACAUUAGAUCAUCAUUGCAUAUCAUAUUUUAUUUUGCAUUUUGGUUGAUCCUAGAAAAUUCUGCGCAACUCAAUGACCCACAGAGAGAGUUGGGGAUUUCGUUAUUUUCAUAUUUGAGUUUUCUCAAAUUUUGAGAAUAGGAUCAUUUGAUUUUAUUUAUUUUAUCCUCAAUUAUUUCUAUUACAAAAAUAUGAGAGAGGGAAUAAAAUGACUUUCCCAAAAUAAAGAAAUAUUGAGGAUUUAAUAAUAAAAUCAAAUAAGAUUUUAUUUUGGAGUUUUUCGAUGUUUUAUUUGAAUUUAGGAAAAAUGUGCAUUUUUCAAAAUUGCAUUUAGGGCCCAAAUAAAUGUUCACUUUGUCGGGCUUGAUUUUAGAAGCCCAGGAAAAUUUAUUUUGGGAUUUUUGGAGUCCCUUUAGUAUUUCUUUUUAUUUUUCUUCCGAGCGGAAUAUUUUAAAAAAAAGGGGAACCGACCUAACCGGGCCGUGUCCGGAUAGGACUCUGGCCCGGCAGGCUUUAAAAGCCGGCCCAGCCCCGGGGAGGAACCCUAGUCCCAGCCCCGAGCCGCCCCAGCCGCCCGCGCCCGCCGCUGCUCGUGCUGCCGCCCACCGCCGCCACCCCGCCGCGCCACAGCCGCCCCGCCGAGGUUUGCCACUGUCUCGUAAUCCGCACAGCCCUUUUUUUAGAAAACCGAUUGGUUUUCCGUCGUUUUUUUAGUUUUCGUUUUUUUAUUAGAUCGUUUUUUUCGGUUUAGGUUAAAUAGCGAGCGUUCGCUCGUUUGUUCGUUUAAACGAACACGUUCAUCGUUUAGAUCUGGAUAACGAACAUUCGUUCGUUAAUCUGUUCGUCGUUUUCUUUUUCUUGGAUUAAAUCCGCGAUUUUUCUGAUCGCGAUUCCUCAUCCGAUUUUCGUUUUAGUAUAACUUUUCACUCGUUUAUCGGAAUGAGGCGAUUCAAGCGCCUAGAGUUUCGUCUUGAAACCCUCUAUCCGUUUAACCAACUUAAACAAGAUUUUGCUAUUGUAAAACUUUCCCUAGAUCCAGAUUACUAGAACGAAGUUGUUUUUUUCGCCGUUUGACUUUCGUUGCUUCGUUCGAUUUGAUUCUUUUUGCCAACCAGAGUUCUUAAGUUGAACCUUCUGGUUAGAUCUCUUAUUUGAGUUAUACCUGUGCAUUAGAUGAGUACUUAUCGUAUGCUUGUUUGUUUGUCUGCGAUAGAGUACUCGGAGUGCGUCGCGUGUUGCUUCGAAUCGUUAGGUUUCGCGGAUCAUCAGCAAGGCAAGUAACACUUUGAUCAUACCUUUUCUACUACCCAGUUUUAUUGCAUUAGAUCAAAUCCUCACACAUUGCAUGUUUAGGAUCUCAUUAAAUUGUGGGAUGGGAAGUAGAUGAGGUAGUACCUAUUACCUGUGUAUUGUCAAACCUUUGGGAGUUACUUCUACGUUUGCUUAUUAUGCCAUGCUAUGCUAGUAGACGUGGAUUGGGUGAGUGAUAUCCAUGACAGAUGUGAGUUUUGUUAAUUAAUGGUUUAUCUAAGGUGGCAACUUAAACACACAUCUGGGUGGAUUGAGGCACCUGGGUAUUCCAGGACUUGCCUGUUUUCUUUUGGACCACCACCCAGGCUCAAAGGGAUCAUGAGACUAUUCAUACUAGAAACUUCCGUGUGCAGCCACAAGCUAUUAUGGGCUCUAGCAUAGUUGACUAAGUUGUGCGAACUCUUACAGUGGUAGACUAGCAGAUGUAGGGGAUGUAGGUGGUACGGUCUACCCGAUCGUAAGGUGCUAGCGCUUCUGAAAGACUAUGUCUCGGUCAUCCGUCUUCUCAAACAUCAUGUAGUGCGAGAAAUCAAACGGAGGCGAUCGAGUCUUGUGGGGAAAAGUGCACAAACCUCUGCAGAGUGUAACAAACUAAUCAUGAUUAGCCGUGUCCCCGGUUAUGGACAUCUUGAGUAUCUAGUACUUGGAUUAUCAUGUGAAUCUCAACAUGUUACUCUAAAUUAAUUUUGUUGGGUUAUGUUUAAUGAUGAUGCUUAAUUGGGAUUGAGAAUGCUGUCAACCAUUCUCAAUGUUUAACAACCACCAUGAUAGUAAUUAAAUUUUAUUCCUUUGAAGUAGGGAAAAAUUGACUUUACGCAAAACUGUAACCAUAGAGCUUUCCACCAGCCAAAUAUGCAUGUAGUAUAGCUGUUGCAUUCCAUUACUCUCUAUGUGUUACCUUGCCAGCAUAUUCCAUGUGUUGACCCGUUUUCGGGCUGCAAUGUUAAUAUUGCAGACUUUUCAGACGACGAUUAAGGAGUUUUAGGUCGUGGUCCUAUACUCAGUGAUGCCGUUGGAGUUGAUGGACUCACUUAUCUUCCAAGCCUUCCGUUGUUAUCGUUAUUAGAUGGCCUUAAGCCUUAUUUAUUGUAAUAAGUUCUCUUUUGAGACACUCGAUGUAAUAAGUGUGUGAUUGCUACUCUGCUAUAAAUCCUCCGAGUACUGUGUGGUGUCAGCAUUACUGAUCCAGGGAUGACACCGGAGCACAGAGAUCAGACCGUUUGAGGUCUGGUUGCUACAUAACCACAUGCACGACUUUCGAAAGUUCAAACCCUACAGGGGUGUCCCAACUUAGCCCAUCACAAGCUCUCACAGUCAACGGAGGAUAUUCCUUCUAGUGGGAAGACCCGAUCAGACUCGGAAUCCCGAUUACAAGACAUUUCGACAAUGGUAAAACAAGACCAGCAAAGCCACCCGGAUGUGCCGACAAAUCCCGAUAGGAGCUGCACAUAUCUUGUUCUCAGGGCACACCGGAUGAGCCAGACGUCGGGCGAGCCAGCCCAGACUUGCCCCUGGUAGCCUCGAACAUCGCUCAGUUUGGACCAACACUUAGAGAAGCACUGGCCUGGGGGGGGGGGUUAAAAUAAGAUGACCCUUGAGCCAGCCGACCCAAGGGAAAGAAAAAGGCUAGGUGGCAAAUGGUAAAACCAAUGUUGGGCCUUCCUGGAGGAGUUUUAUUCAAGGCGAACUGUCAAGGGGUUUCCAUUAUAACCCAACCGCGUAAGGAACGCAAAAUCCGGGAACAUAAUACCGGUAUGACGGAAACUAGGGCGGCAAGAGUGGAACAAAACACCAGGCAUAAGGCCGAGCCUUCCACCCUUUACCAAGUAUAUAGAUGCAUUAAUUAAAUAAGAGAUAUUGUGAUAUCCCAACAAAAAUAUCCAUGUUCCAAACAUGGAACAAGCUCCAAUCUUCACCUGCAACUAACAACGCUAUAAGAGGGGCUGAGCAGAGCGGUAACAUAGCCAAACAACGGUUUGCUAGGACAAGGUGGGUUAGAGGCUUGGCUUAACAAUAUGGGAGACAUGAUAAGCAAGUGGUAGGUAUCGUAGCAUAGGCAUAGAAAAAGAGCGAGCAACUAGCAAGCAAAGAUAAAAGUGAUUUCGAGGGUAUGGUCAUCUUGCCUGAAACCCCACAAGGAAGAAGAACGAGUCCACGAAGAAGACAAACGGACGUAGUCAACGGAUCCUCACAAACGCAACGUUACCGGAACCAACCCGAAGAAGCAACACCGGAAAGGAGCAAACAACAUAGUAAACAACCAUCACAUAAUCAUGGCACGAUGCGCAAACAAGUAUGAUGCAUGUCCGGUUUAACGAGGCAUGGCAUGGCAAAGUGCACAAACAACCCUACAAAUUAAGUGGAGCUCAAUAUGCAAAGAGUUGCAUAUUGACGAAACACCACGACAAGUUAUUUAGUCCGAUCUCGUUUAUGUACCCAACAAUAUUAAAUGUUGUUAAACAUGGCAAGAGGGUGAAGCAAAGUAAAACUACCUAUCUAGUCAAGGUUAAAUGAGGCCGGAAGCAACGAACAACAAUUCGGGUAAAUCCCCAUAUGCAUAUAUUAGGUUUGGUACUGUUCUGCUCUAAACACAAUUUUAGAGUUGUUAAACAUGCAAAGUGAUGCCACCAUGUUAAACUAGGCAUUUUUCUACCCCAUUUACAUAUAAAUAUUAUUUAAAAUGGAGCUACGGUUAAUUAGUUAUGAAUUAAAGCAUUUUAACAAGUUAUUUAAGCAAAUUUAAACAACUAGCAUAUUAAACAUUUUAAACAUGGAUGAAAGUGGCAUAUUAAGAAACUAGAUGAAAUUUUAGUCAAGUUGCACAUAUAAAACAUUUUAAACCAAUGCAUGGUUAAUUUGUUAUUAACAAUGCAAAACAGUGGCAAAAUGAUGUAAUUAUGCAUGCACUCGAUAUUAGGAAAUUCGUCAGCAGGAAAAAAAAAUAGCCGGGCCGAAUGCAACGUACUGUGCAAGCCCAACAGCAGAUCUAGCCCGAAGCAAACGUGGAUGUGCAAAAUAACAGGAAAACAAAGCAAAAUAAGCAAGUGGUAGGUAUCGUAGCAUAGGCAUAGAAAAAGAGCGAGCAACUAGCAAGCAAAGAUAAAAGUGAUUUCGAGGGUAUGGUCAUCUUGCCUGAAACCCCACAAGGAAGAAGAACGAGUCCACGAAGAAGACAAACGGACGUAGUCAACGGAUCCUCACAAACGCAACGUUACCGGAACCAACCCGGAGAAGCAACACCGGAAAGGAGCAAACAACAUAGUAAACAACCAUCACAUAAUCAUGGCACGAUGCGCAAACAAGUAUGAUGCAUGUCCGGUUUAACGAGGCAUGGCAUGGCAAAGUGCACAAACAACCCUACAAAUUAAGUGGAGCUCAAUAUGCAAAGAGUUGCAUAUUGACGAAACACCACGACAAGUUAUUUAGUCCGAUCUCGUUUAUGUACCCAACAAUAUUAAAUGUUGUUAAACAUGGCAAGAGGGUGAAGCAAAGUAAAACUACCUAUCUAGUCAAGGUUAAAUGAGGCCGGAAGCAACGAACAACAAUUCGGGUAAAUCCCCAUAUGCAUAUAUUAGGUUUGGUACUGUUCUGCUCUAAACACAAUUUUAGAGUUGUUAAACAUGCAAAGUGAUGCCACCAUGUUAAACUAGGCAUUUUUCUACCCCAUUUACAUAUAAAUAUUAUUUAAAAUGGAGCUACGGUUAAUUAGUUAUGAAUUAAAGCAUUUUAACAAGUUAUUUAAGCAAAUUUAAACAACUAGCAUAUUAAACAUUUUAAACAUGGAUGAAAGUGGCAUAUUAAGAAACUAGAUGAAAUUUUAGUCAAGUUGCACAUAUAAAACAUUUUAAACCGAUGCAUGGUUAAUUUGUUAUUAACAAUGCAAAACAGUGGCAAAAUGAUGUAAUUAUGCAUGCACUCGAUAUUAGGAAAUUCGUCAGCAGGAAAAAAAAAUAGCCGGGCCGAAUGCAACGUACUGUGCAAGCCCAACAGCAGAUCUAGCCCGAAGCAAACGUGGAUGUGCAAAAUAACAGGAAAACAAAGCAAAAUAAGCAAAAUGGGGGCUGCUGGGAUUCGAACCCCAGACCCCUUGAAUGGAUAGAGGCUUCGCUAGCCACUGAGCUAGCUCUCCGUUUGUGAUGCAAAGGGAGAUGGACAUAAAAAAUAAAGCAUGUGGGCACCGCGGCUAGGACACAACCUGAAGCGGGCGCACGGGGACUCGCCAGCGACGGGAGUGAACAGCAACUGCUGCUGUGGUUGCAGAGGACCGACGGGGAUGCGGAAACCUGCUAGGGAGGCCGCGGUGGGGCAAGAACCUGGAGGUGCGCUGGUUGGAACUCCGGCAAGCCGGCCUCGGCAGGGACCCAGCCAGAAUCAGACGGGGACAUGCGGAGGCGCGGCUCGACGGCAAGGCCGAAGCAGGGGAGGCCGUGACAGGGGGUGGCGAGGCAGGGGACGGCGACAUCGAUGAAGUGGUCCGGCGAGGUCCGGCACGAGACGCCGUGGACGGAAGGCUGCAAGGAGCUCCCUGGGAGGCGUCGAGCAUGGCGGCUACAGAGCUUCAAGCUUCGGUGGGGCGCAUCCAUGGCGUGGGGAUUCUGCGAGGAAAACACAGAGAGGGGCGAGACGUGAGAGGAGAAGGAAGGAACCAUAGGAAAGGAAGGGAGAGGUGGCGCUGUUCUUGGUGGUGGUCGACGCAGCGGCGCUGGUCGUCGGGCGAAGAGGGCCUCGGACAACUUCACGAUCCACUCGGGAUCGAGGGGAGAAGAGGCAGGCCUCGGGCGCCUGGGGAAGAAGCAGCGGAGGCAGGAGUCGCGUCGGACAAGGAGACGAGGUGGUAGGGCGGCGGUGGUCUUGUAGGUGAGGAGGGACUCCGGCGGCGUCGAAGCAGAGGAACGGCAACACGGCGCGGCGGCGGAAGCUUCUGCUGCUGCUGCUCCAAGAGAGGAAGAGAGGUCAGGGAGGCAGAGAGAGCUUCAGCGAAGGAGAGAAAAAAAUGGCAGGGCGGUGAGGACGGCCUGCUGGUUCGUGCGAGGAACGGAGCAACUCCAGCGGAAAUCGGACGCCACGGCGGACUCCAACGACUUGGCGGGGCGGCGGGUCGAGGUCGAGGGCGAUGGGGAGCUGCGGGAGGAGCUCGGGCAGAGGUGCUCGGGAUGGAGGGGAUCGAGAGGGGCUGGUGAUUGGUGGGUUUGGAUCGGGAGGGAUCCCGAGAGAGUAGCAGCGGCGCUAGGGAAAGGAUGGAUGGGACAAGGCCCCUAGAAUUUAGGGUUGCAGGUUUAUAUAGUGGGUCUAUACUAUACGCAGACUAAUGGAAGCCCUUCGAUUUAAAUCAGACGGCUGAGGAGAAAAAUAGGUUAGGAAGUCCAAUAAACGAAACAGAGAUGUUUUGUAGACGUUUGGGGAUGAUCCGGACACAACGGUGGUGACAGUCCGGGUCGGGUCCGGGACAGCUUUUCGGACGCGCACGCGAGGAGAGCCGCGGGCUGACGAGAGAGGUUAGGUAGGGUCUGACGUUGAGUAGUGGACUGUGCAUAAGUCCUCAGGCUGAGAGAAGAGAAGAGAGAGAGACCCGGCGACUGUUUCCGGAGACCGAAAACGUCCGACAUUUGACCGACUAUAAUGUCGCUAUAGUUAACCGUUGGGUUAUCAAACGAACGCCGAAUGCGAUGAAACUUGGCAGGCGGCCUACCUACAACAUAAAAACAUCACAUGCCAACUUUCAACCCAUCCCGAUAACAUUUUCCGACCACUAAUAAGAAAAAUAUUUCGGAGGUGCCGCGGGCGCGUGCAAGAGAGGUUGGGCUCAGAACGGACAACAGACGGAACUAGGGGAACCCGAACAGAUGAAGGUUUGAAAACAUGAUGAUGUAAUGCAUAUGAUGACAUGAUACAAUGCACAUGAUGCAAAGAUGAAUGCAAUAAGCCAACAACUCACAUGACGAAAACCCGGAAACCCUGGAAGGCAUCUGAAGCUCCGGUCUUGGGGCGUCACAGCGACCAGCGCAAAUAAACGCCGCAGCAAAACAAAUCCAGAACUGAAACCACUUCAGAAGAUCUCAAAAACAAUAUCCUGGGUAACCAUAAUGCUAGCAAGAUGCUUAGCAAGCUUAUUAACUUUCUCUUGUUUGGUGCUUAAAUCCUCCAGCGCUUGCUGUUGCACCAAAAAAUAUGCAUCUGAAUUCUGCAGGGACUUCCUCAGUCCUUCAGCUUCCUGUCGCAGCACAUCUGAUCGAUGUCUUUCAACUUGAAGUUGAGACUCAAGAAGACGAAUUGAUUCAGGCAGCGAGUUCGAAGAGCUUGUGCCAGCAGUAGUGGCCAGUAACUCGAACACUACAUCAAGACAGGACUUUUGGGUUCCCUCACCGUCGUCAAGAUAGUUUUUAUCAGCUUUCUUGGAGACCAACAGGGAUGUCUCACUAUCUUAAACCUUAUCUGCAUUACUUCCUUUACCAUUGGAUAACGCGGUACUGUUCUCCAAUAUUUUGUCCGCAUUCUAAAAGAGAAACAAGCAGACACAUCACAUGUUUACCAUGUUGUAUAUGAAACUCAUUUUGGUAAAUGAGUUCAGUAGUAAAGUGGACAGGAUAACAACAUGAAACAAACAUAUAUCUAUGUAUCAUGGUCACUUUAUGGUCUAUAUCAUUCUAGUUUUUUUUGCCAAAUCAAGAUAGAGACACAGUUCAAAUAAUAUUUGUUCAAGACAAAGCAGAAUAGACAGAAUAUAAGUGUGGGUAACUAUAGACCAAUAACAACACUUGUAAUGUGCAUGACAUGAGAACAUAACUCUUUAUUCAAUUGAAACUAAAAUCAACAUAGAGCAGGUUACAACAGCAAACCAGUUAAAGAAACAGGUUUAAAACAUACCUGUUGCGCCAUUGGAGUUUCAGUUCCAUCCUUCAAAUUUGAAAAUAGUUGGUAUGAGUAAAUACAGUCAUGCAAGAGCAAAGGAGUAUGAACCAUAGCUAUAGAACCUGACCUAAGAACAAAUCUUCUUCUCCUUUAAGCAUUGAGUUGGGAUUCGGAGUGGUGGUCCUCGUGCUUUGGGCACUGCAGUUCCAUUACUAACUACUCGUGUUUGGGUGCUCUGUGGUGGAGACGGUGAUGUGUAAACUGGAACUGGGUUACUAUCUGCCGGGGUUGGGGUUAGAAGGAGUGUAGCUGGUUCUCUGUCCAACUGGGUAGGGGUACAAUCUGCGAGAGUCUGGGUUAUGUGCGGUGGAUCUGGUCCUUGGGCAAGCACAACCGUGGUUCUAUCUGCAUCAACUGGUAGCACUAUCUUUUCUGAAGACCGUGUUGUUACUCCCUUAGAUACUGCCAUCACGCUCUCCAAUUCAAAUGGCUGAUAAACAAGAAAAGUAAUUGAAAGUAUAGACAUUGUAUGAUAGACAUGUGCAAUGGAUAGUGGGGAAUAAAAGAGGGCAUGAAAUAAUUCAUAUUUAUGUUGUCUAACCAAACAGGAUAGCAUGACACAAUUUCACAUAUAUGAUGGCUAACUAAACAUGAUAGCAUGACACAAUUUCACAUUAUGAUGGCUAACUAAAAAAGAUGGAAAGACAUAGUUCAAAAUAUGAGACUAUGUAAACAGGAUGACAUGACAUAACUAUAUAAUGUGUUUAUUAAAUAGGUUGGCAUGCCAUAAUUCACAUACAUUCAUAGAUAGAAUGCCAUAAUUCAAAAUAUGAUGACUGUAAACACUAAACAGGAUGAGAUGAUAUAACUAUAUGAUGUCUUUAUUAAAUGGGUUGCCAUGCCAUAAUUUAGAUAGAUGAUGUGUAUGUACUAUGUAAACGUGAUGGCAUGAUAUAAUUCAAAUAUAUGAUUUAUAUAGUAAGCAAGUAAGCAGAUGGCAAUCCAUCACUAGUAGAAAACAGGGCUUUGGUCCAGGCCGUGUCAGCCCAAUAGUCCCGGUUCAGUCCAGAACUGGGACCAAUGUGGGCAUUGGUCCCGGUUCGUGAGCCCAGGGGGCCGGCCGGGCCACGUGGGCCAUUGGUCCCGGUUCAUCUGGACCUUUUGGUCCCGGUUGGUGGGAUGAACUGGAACCAAUGGGCCUCGCUCCUGGCCCACCACCAUUGGCCCCGGUUGGUGGCUUGAACCGGGACCAAAGGCUCCCCUUUAGUCCCGGCUCAAGUCACCAACCGGGACCAAUGAGGUGCCUAUAUAUACCCCUCGCUCGCGAGCAGAGCACCCCAGUGCUCUGUUUUUCUCUGGCCGAGGGGGAGAGGGCUUGGUGGUGCUCUAGCUCACCUCCUAUGCACACAAGGUGUUCGAUGGAAUGCCCGAGCCACACUACUUAAGCUUUCUCCUCUCCAAGCUCGACCUCCAAGCUCCAUUUUCCAUAAUAUUUGUCUAGGUUUAGCGGUCCGUCACGCCCCGUCCCCGUCUUCACCGCCGUCGAUCACCCGCGCCGAGCUCAUCACCGGAACCACCGUGGUGAGCCUCUUGUUCUUAUCUUCUUUCUGAAAGGAAAAAUAUUCUUACUUGUAUGUUUGGAUAGAUACUUGUAUUAUUUUCUUACUUUUAUUAUUGCAUCUUAUAUAGUGCGAUGGUUUUGGUAUCCGCCCUCGUCGGCCCUCGUCCUGUCUAUGAUUCAGAUGUGGUAUAUAUAUUAUCUUUAUAACUAUUGGUUCAUUUAUUGUUUACGAAAAUUAUGCCGACCAACGUGACAUAGAUUUUAUUUAUGUCGGAUGUAUGUGAAUCGGAAAUGCCAACCGACCCUAUUGUUAAGAGGUUAAAUUUAGUUAAAGAAGAAAACAAUUUGUUGAAGGAAAAAAUAAAAAAAAUUGAGGAGGAGAAGAUGAUAUUGGAGUUGCAUGUUGCGGAUGUCGUCGAUGAUCACAAGAUCAAGAUGGAUGCAAUGCGCUUGAAGAUUAGAAAGAUUAGAAAAUAUGCCAUUCACACCGAGGCUUGGUAUCAUUAUGCCGUUGGAUCAAUUGUUAACUUGGUUGCGAUUAUGAUCACAUUUGUUUUCGCAUUGAAAUGUUUUACGUAGUUUCAAUGUAUGGUUUAAUUAAUUAGAUGCUCUGGAGAGCUAUAUGUUGUUAAAUGAGAACUAUAUAUGCACUUUGGUUUUAAUGUGAUGAUGAACUUCUAUUAAUUUGGACACUUAAUUAUAUAUAAUGCAUGCAGAUAAACCGGCAAUGGAUGUAUGGUGAUAGACACACCCGCAAGUACAUUAAGGGCAUGCAUGAGUUUCUCGAUGCGGCUGAGGCAAACAAGCAGAAUAGUUUUAUGUGUUGUCUAUGCACUGAAUGUGGGAAUACGAGGUCUUACUCUAACCGAAAAAUCCUUCACUCCCACCUUCUUUACAAGGGUUUCAUGCCACACUAUAAUGUUUGGACGAGGCACGAAGAAAUAGGGGUUAUGAUGGAAGACGACGAAGAAGAAGAGUACGAUGACAACUAUGUGCCCCCUGAAUACGGUGAUGCUGCAAUGGGGGGAGCUGGUGAAGAUCAAGAGGAACCAGACGAUGUGCCCAAUGAUGCUGCAACGGGUGAAGCUACUGAAGAUCAAGAGGAACCAGACGAUGUGCCCGAUGAUGAUGAUCUCCGCCGGGUCAUUGUCGAUGCAAGGACGCAAUGUGAAAGUCAAAAGGAGAAGCUGAAGUUCGAUCGCAUGUUAGAGGAUCACAAAAAGGGUUAUACCCCAAUUGCGAAGAUGGCAACACAAAGCUCGGUACCGUACUGGAAUUACUGUAGUGGAAGGCAGAGAAUGCUGUGGCUGACAAAGGAUUUGAGAAGCUACUGAAAAUAUUGAAGAAGAAGCUUCCAAAGGAUAACGAAUUGCCCGACAGUACAUACGCAACAAAGAAGGUCGUAUGCCCUCUAGGAUUGGAGGUGGAGAAGAUACAUGCAUGCCCUAAUGACUACAUCCUCUACCGUGGUGCAUACAAGGAUCUGAACGCAUGCCCGGUAUGCGGUGCAUUGCGGUAUAAGAUCAGACGAGAUGACCCUGGUGAUGUUGACGGCGAGCCCCUCAGGAAGAGGGUUCCUGCGAAGGUGAUGUGGUAUGCUCCUAUAAUACCACGGUUGAAACAUCUGUUCAGAAACGAAGAGCAUGCCAAGUUGAUGCGAUGGCACAGUGAGAACCGAAAGAAAGAUGGGAAGUUGAGAGCACCCGCUAACGGGUCGCAGUGGAGAAAAAUUGAGAGAAAGUACUGGGAUGAGUUUGCAAAGGACCCAAGGAAUGUAUGGUUUGCUUUAAGCGCGGAUGGCAUUAAUCCUUUCGGGGAGCAGAGCAGCAAUCACAGCACCUGGCCCGUGACUCUAUGUAUGUAUAACCUUCCUCCUUGGAUGUGCAUGAAGCGGAAGUUCAUUAUGAUGCCAGUUCUCAUCCAAGGCCCUAAGCAACCCGGCAACGAAAUUGAUGUGUACCUAAGGCCAUUAGUUGAAGAACUUUUACAGCUGUGGAAUGGAAACGGUGUACGUACAUGGGAUGAGCACAGACAGGAGGAAUUUAACCUUAAGGCUUUGCUGUUCAUGACCAUCAACGAUUGGCCCGCUCUCAGUAACCUUUCAGGACAGACAAACAAAGGAUACCACGCAUGCACGCACUGUUUAGAUGACACUGAAAGUAUAUACCUGGACAAAUGCAGGAAGAAUGUGUACCUGAGCCAUCGUCGAUUUCUUCUGACCAACCAUCAAUGUCGAAAGAAAGGCAAGCAUUUCAAAGGCGAGGCAGAUCACCGGAAGAAGCCCGCCAUGCGCACCGGUGAUCACGUGCUUGCUAUGGUCAAUGAUUUAUGGUACGUAAUCUUUGGAAAGGGUCCCGGUGGACUAGCUAUUCCGAAUGACGCUGAGGGACACGCACCCAUGUGGAAGAAGAAAUCUAUAUUUUGGGACCUACCCUACUAGAAAGACCUAGAGGUCCGCUCCUCAAUCGACGUGAUGCACGUGAUGAAGAACCUUUGCGUGAACCUGCUAGGCUUCUUGGGCGUGUAUGGGAAGACAAAAGAUACACCUGAGGCAUGGGAGGACCUGCAACGUUUGCACGAAAAAGAUGGCAUGCCUCCGAAGCAGUAUAAAGGUCCUGCUAGCUACGCUCUUACGAAAGAAGAGAAAGAAAUCUUCUUUGAAUGCCUGCUCAGUAUGAAGGUCACGACUGGCUUCUCGUCGAAUAUAAAGGGAAUAAUAAAUAUGCCAGAGAAAAAGUUUCAGAACCUAAAGUGUCAUGACUGCCACGUGAUUAUGAUGCAACUGCUUCUGGUUGCAUUGAGGGAGCUUCUACCGGAAAACGUCCGAUUAGCCAUUGUGAAGCUAUGUGCAUUCCUCAAUGCAAUCUCUCAGAAGGUGAUCGAUCCAGAAAUCGUACCAAGGCUAAGGAGUGAUGUGGCGCAAUGUCUUGUCAGUUUCGAGCUGGUGUUCCCACCAUCCUUCUUCAAUAUCAUGACGCACGUCCUAGUUCAUCUAGUCGACGAGAUUGCCAUCCUGGGGCCCGUAUUUCUACACAAUAUGUUCCCCUUUGAGAGGUUCAUGGGAGUCCUAAAGAAAUAUGUCUGUAACCGCGCUAGGACAUAAGGAAGCAUCUCCAUGGGCCAUCAAAUAGAGGAUGUUAUCGGGUUUUGUGUUGACUUCAUUCCUGGCCUUAAGAAGAUAGGUCUCCCUAAAUCGCGGUAUGAGGGGAGACUGACUGGAAAAGGCACUCUUGGAAGAGACUCAAUAAUAUGCAGGGAUGGAUAUUCUUGGUCUCAAGCAAACUACACAGUUCUACAUAACUCUACCUUGGUGACCCCGUAUGUCGAUGAACACAAGAACAGUCUGCGCUCCAAACACCCGGAGCAGUGCGACGACUGGAUUACAUGUGAACACAUCAGGACUUUCAACAGUUGGUUAGAAACACGUCUCAGAGGUGACAACACUGUUUGUGAUGAGUUGUACUUGUUGUCCAGGGGACCAUCUUUGACUGUAUUGACUUACAAAGGAUACGAGAUAAAUGGGAAUACAUUUUACACGAUCGCCCAAGAUCAAAAGAGCACCAACCAAAACAGCGAUGUCCGCUUUGAUGCAGCAACCGAGAGCGGAAAGGACACAUAUUAUGGUUACAUAGUGGACAUAUGGGAACUUGACUACGGACCUGAUUUUAAGGUCCCUUUGUUUAAGUGCAAAUGGGUCAAUCUGUUAGGCGGCGGGGUACAGGUAGACCCACAGUACGGAAUGACAACAGUGGAUCUAAAAAAUCUUGGGUACACCGACGAACCGUUCGUCCUAGCCAAUGAUGUGGCACAGGUUAUCUUUGUGAAGGACAUGUCUACCAAACCGAGAAAAAGAAAAGAUAAGGAAGCGAAUACAUCAUACGAAGAGCCAAAGCGCCACAUAGUUCUUUCAGGAAAAAGGGACAUCCUGGGAGUGGACGGCAAGACAGACAUGUCUGAAGAUUAUGAAAAGUUUCAUGAAAUUCCUCCCUUCAAUGUCAAGGCUGACCCAAGCAUCCUGAUAAACAAUGAAGAUUAUCCAUGGUUACGGCGCAAUAAGCGAAUGACACAAGCGAAGAAGAAGUGAAGACUUUCUCCCGCAACUAUUAUGAUGAUACCAUGCCAACUUUGUAACACACGAACAUGCUACCAUUGUCCGUUUUGUACAUGCACAUGCUAUGUGGGUGAAAUUAUGAUACCAUGCCAACUUUCAACUUUUUCAGAGUUCAUUUGAAAUGCUUUCAUGUCUUAUGGUUCGGCCCUCGUAAUACCAUGACCAUUAGUCCCUGGCCCAUGCCAACUUUCAACUUUCAACUUUCUAAAACUAAUGGCACUAACAAAAAGUUUAUAAUUUUGCUCCUCGCCCCUGGCCCAUGACCAUUAGUCCCGGUUUGUGCCACAAACCGGGACUAAAGGGUUGGCCCUCAUUACGGGCAGAGUUUAGUCCCACCUCGCCAAUCGAAGGGGGCUCACACCGGUUUAUAAGCCAUUUCCUCUCUGCCUUGUUGAGCUCCUCUCAAAGUGAAAAUAGAUGCCCUAAUAGAGAAAAGUUUAACCUAAAUUCAUAGUGAAUUUCUCUGAAAUUCAUAGAAAUUUACUAGGAAUUUAGGUUGAAUUUUCUCUAUAAGCGCAUCUAUUCUCAUUUUUUUAGUAAGUUAAUCACAAACUUGUGAUUCAAACAAUUUUCAAAGAAUUCAAAUUUUAACUAUUCAAAUUUGAAAACUAAUGGCACUAACAGAAAGUUUAUAAUUUUUCUAAAACUAAUGGCACUANNNNNNNNNNNNNNNNNNNNNNNNNNNNNNNNNNNNNNNNNNNNNNNNNNNNNNNNNNNNNNNNNNNNNNNNNNNNNNNNNNNNNNNNNNNNNNNNNNNNNNNNNNNNNNNNNNNNNNAAUAGCAACAAUAAGUAUUUUGUUGCAAGUAGAAACAAAAUAAAAUAAAUAAAUAAAGCAAAAAAGUGAUUUCAAAUUUGAAAACUAAUGACACUAACAGAAAGUUUAUAAAUUUUCUAAAACUAAAAGCAAAAAGAAUUAAAAAAUAAAGAAAAAAACAACAAAAAAUAAAUAAUGCAGAAAGCAAAACCAAAAAACUGGAAAAAAAAUAAAAAUAGCAACAAUAAGUAUUUUGUUGUAAGUAGAAACAAAAUAAAAUAAAUAAAGCAACAAAGAAAACAAAAAAAUGUGCCACCAACUGGUCCCCCACGGCCUGAAUACGACUAGAAACCCUACCAUGGGCCAGGAUUCAGGCCCGCGGGAGGCCCAGUAGGCCCGCAGGCACAGAUUGCACGGUCAGGCCCGAAAGCCUGUAGUUGAGAGGAGGUCGAGAGGGUGGGCGCAGCAGCGCUUAUAAACCACUCUCGAGCUCUCUCAACUAGCGAGGUGGGACUAAACUUUUCGGCGCGGGGCAGCACAAGGCCUUUGGUCCCGGUUGGUGGCACCAACCGGGACUAAAGGGGGGCACGACCCGGGACUANNNNNNNNNNNNNNNNNNNNNNNNNNNNNNNNNNNNNNNNNNNNNNNNNNNNNNNNNNNNNNNNNNNNNNNNNNNNNNNNNNNNNNNNNNNNNNNNNNNNNNNNNNNNNNNNNNNNNNNNNNNNNNNNNNNNNNNNNNNNNNNNNNNNNNNNNNNNNNNNNNNNNNNNNNNNNNNNNNNNNNNNNNNNNNNNNNNNNNNNNNNNNNNNNNNNNNNNNNNNNNNNNNNNNNNNNNNNNNNNNNNNNNNNNNNNNNNNNNNNNNNNNNNNNNNNNNNNNNNNNNNNNNNNNNNNNNNNNNNNNNNNNNNNNNNNNNNNNNNNNNNNNNNNNNNNNNNNNNNNNNNNNNNNNNNNNNNNNNNNNNNNNNNNNNNNNNNNNNNNNNNNNNNNNNNNNNNNNNNNNNNNNNNNNNNNNNNNNNNNNNNNNNNNNNNNNNNNNNNNNNNNNNNNNNNNNNNNNNNNNNNNNNNNNNNNNNNNNNNNNNNNNNNNNNNNNNNNNNNNNNNNNNNNNNNNNNNNNNNNNNNNNNNNNNNNNNNNNNNNNNNNNNNNNNNNNNNNNNNNNNNNNNNNNNNNNCCCAGCUGCCCCGCGCCGCCGUCGCCUCUGCCUCGCUGUGGUCUGGGCCGGCACCGCCCCCCUCUUCCCCCUUUUUUUUGCAAACACAUAUAUGUUUUUUUCCUGCAGAUUAUAUGUAUAUGUAUGAGUAUAUGAUGAUGUAUGAGUAUAUGUAUGUGCUGAAAAGAUAGAUUUUUAGAAAAAAUACUAUUUUUUUCUGUUGAUGAUAUGAUGAUGUUUUUUUUCAUAUAUGUAUUAAUUUUUUUAAGUUGUUAGUAGAUAUCAAUUUUAGGUUAGUGCAUUUUAUCACUGAUUUUAGGUUAGUUGAUCGAUUUAGUGCAUUUUAUGUUUGUUGCAUUUUAGGUUAGUGCAUUUGCUAAGUGAUAUUAAGAAAAGGAAGGAAAAGAAGGAUAGGAAAGAAGAAAAUAAGAAGAGGAAAGAAAGAAUAAGAGGAGAGGAAGAAAAGGAGAAAUAAAUAAGAAGAAGAAAAAAGAAGAAAAAGAAGAGGAGAAGAAGAAAGGAAUAGUGAAGAAGAGAAAAUAGAAUAUUCUAUUUUCUCUUCUUCUCCACUAUUCCUUUCUUCUUCUCCUCUUUUUUUCUUCUUUUUUUUCUUCGAUCUUAUCCUCUAGCUAUUCCUUUCUUCGAGGGUUCUAUAGGGUCGAGGGAUCGAGGGUCGAGGGUUCCAGGGUCGUCUAGGGGUCGAGGGUUCCAGGGUCGUCGAGGGUUCGAGGGGUCGAGGAUCGCCGAGGGGUCGAGAGAGGUUUCCUAGUGUCAAAGUAUUGAAGAAAUCCAUGGCUUCAUCAUUAGCCGGAAGUAACCAGGGCAUGACGAAGUCCUCCAAAGUUAUUUUGGAAUGGUGUCCCGGAUAGGAUAAUUUGCCUUUUUGUAUGAAUUUUAGCAAAGGCCUUCCAAAUAAUGAUAUUUGGAAGGUUCUUGCUGAACUUUGUACCAAAAAGCGAAUUAUCUUAUCUGGGACUCCGUUCCAAAAUAACUUUGGAGAGCUUCAUACCAUCAUGCACCUGUUACUUUCGCCUAAUGAUGAAGACAUGGUUUUGUUGAAUCCUUUGACACUAGGCAACCUCCCGACCCCUCGGCGAUCCUCUCAAACAUGAGAGGAAGAAGAGGAUAAAAAAAGAAGAGGAAGAAGAAGAAAAAGAGGACAAGAAAGAAUAGAGGAGAUCUUCUCCUCUAUUCUUUCUUCUCCUCUUUUUUUUCUUCUUCUUCCUCUUUUUUUUAUCGGGAACGAGGGUCGUCGAGGGUCGCCGAGCGGUAGAGGAGAAACCCUAAAUAGAAAGUAUCGUCAGUGUGAGAUACAUGUACCGUCAGUGUCGGACACUACAUGCACGUCCCACAAGUGGCGCGGGCUUCGACUCCCACGUCACUUGUGGGACGUGGAUGUAGUGUCCGACACCGACAGCCACAUGUAUCUCACACCCACGAUACUUGCUAUUUAGGGUUUCCUCUACCGUUCGGCGACCCUGACGCUCGACGACCCUCGUUUCCGAUAAAAUAAAGAGGAAGAAGAAAAAAAAGAGAAGAAGAGAAGAAGAAGAAAAAAAAGAGGAGAAUUAUUCUCCUCUUUUUUUCUUCUUCUUCUCUUCUUCUCUUUUUUCUUCUUCUUCUUCUUCCUCUUUAUUUUAUCGGGAACGAGGGUCGUCGAGGGUCGCCAAGCGGUAGAGGAGAAACCCUAAAUAGAAAGUAUCGUCGGUGUGAGAUACAUGUACCGUCGGUGUCGGACACUACAUCCACGUCCCACAAGUGGCGCAGGCUUCGACGCCCACGUCACUUGUGGGACGUGGAUGUAGUGUCCGACACCGACGGCCACAUGUAUCUCACACCCACGAUACUUGUUAUUUAGGGUUUCCUCUAUCGCUCGGUGACCCUCGGCGACCCUCGUUUCCGAUAAAAAAAAGAGGAAGAAGAAGAAAAAAAGAGGAGAAGAAAGAAUAGAGGAGUUCUUACUCCUCUAUUCUUUCUUCUCCUCUUUUUUUUCUUCUUCCUCUUCUUUUUUUAUCCUUGAAGCGUUGUCGAGGCCACCCCAAACCCUAGAGAAGCAGCGUCGAGGCCACCCCAAACCCUAGAGAAGCAGCGUCGAGGCCACUAAUUAAUAUUAGUUCUAUGUUUUUGCCACUAAUAUAUCCAUCUGUCAUGUUUGAAUAAUAAUUGCCAUGUUGUCAAUAUUUGUAGAAACUAUGGACACCGCCCGAGAUGAAGUACAAGAAGAGUUGUUGGGGGACAUAAUCGCACAAGGAAGUGAUGCCAUCUGCUCGUUGUUUCUCAACGACACCGAUGGUCUGGAAGCAGCUCGCUAUGAUUAUGAUGGCUUCGGUGACCUAAUGUCGGUGCAAGAAGGAGACCGUGAGGACGGCUCCGGUGACCCAAUGCCGGUGCAAGAAGGAGACCGUGAUGACGCCAGAUAUAUAUAUUAGUUAAGCUUCUGCUGACUAGCUAAUUGAUGCAUUCAUUGUUUUGGUAUGUACACAUAUUAAUUAAGUCUUUGUUCUUUUUUCUAGCCCUUCGGAUCGAGCACAACUUCGGUAAAGAGACGAGGCCUGAAGAAAAAGUUGAGCUCGGAUGAAAAGUUUGAGAUCAUAGCAAUCGCGCCCGACGGCCAACCGAUUGAACCCCUCCGGACAAAGAGCGCAUUUGUUGCUCAGUGCGGGGUUUUCGUUAGGGACAAGAUCCCGAUCAGCAUCCAGCAAUGGUUUAAGCCGGGUACAGAAGACCCUGAGGUGUCUUAUGUCAAUGAUAUGCAGAAAAAUGAUCUUUGGACUGAGCUGAAGUCAAAUUUCACCCUACCGCCAGAGGAUAAUCCAGAGAAGCCAGUUAAAGAGCAAUCAAUCAAGUCUUUUGCUCUUAAGAGGAUGGCAGAACUAUUCAGGAGGUGGAAGAAAGAGCUGAAUAAGUUUGUCGAAAAUAAUGAGACACCAGAAUUCAAGGGCAGAUAUGAGAAGAUCAGAGAUCACUGGCCCGCAUUUGUGGCCCACAAGACAUUGGAAAAGAGUAAGAAGAUGUCGGCGACAAACAAGCAAAAUGCUGCGAAGAAGAAGCAUCACCAUCGCACGGGGUCAGGUGGCUACCUCGUAGCCCGGACUAAGUGGGCCAAGACUGAGAAUGAUCUGGUUGAUAAAGGGAUCAAACCAGAGACAAUUAACUGGCCAGACCAUUGCCGGACUUGGUUCUUCGGGGCUGGCGGAACCUUGGACCCUGUAACAGGGAAGUGCAUUUGGAUGAAUGAUCAAAUGGACAUACCAGUCAGGAAGCUUCAGCAGUAUAUCGAAGCAGCGCAGCAAGGGACGUUCUUUCCAGACAGAGAGAACGACGAGCUCACAAUGACCCUCGGGAAUCCUGAGCACCCCGGACGGACACGAGGCAUGCCAGGCUCCAUUCCGUGGAAGGUUGGGUUUCCAGACGCAGGCGGUUACAAAUCCCAUGAGAGGAGGAAAAAAGUGCAGUAGACCCAAAUGCAGGCGCUGCAAGCAAGGGUACAAGCGAUAGAGGAACGAGAAGCAAAUCGCAGCAAAUGUACUGCCGAAGCUUCCCCCGAAGCUACCCCGCCAUCUCAGCGGAGAAGCAGCGUGGCUUCCACCGAGCUGCUUCAGCCGGAGCAUGCCUUGACGGCUCCUGCCAGCUAUCCCAUGGAUGCUAUCAUGGAGUCUCAAAAUUGCCACCUUAUGACGCAAUGGAUGAAUUUGAAGGUCAAGGCGGCUGUUGGCUCUGUUUAUCCUACUGAACCCGACGCAACUUUUCACUGUCGUCCGAUUCCAGAAGGAUAUGCUAGGGUGAUGGUGGAUGAAAUAACGGAGGGAUUUGAGGACCUCCAGCUUGACCACCCUACCGGUGAAGGGGAGACUAUGCUGGGGUCUGCUCUGAAGACUCCAUGCCUAUGGCGGAAGGAGCUCAUCAACCUUCCGAACUGGACGCCUAUGCCUCCUCCUCCUCCUCCGGCAAGUCAGGGCACUCCGCCUCCUCCACCGCCUCCUCCUCCGGCGAGUCAGGGCACUCCGCCUCCUCCACCGCCUCCUCCUCCGGCGAGUGACGAUCAGGGCACUCGACCGGCUCCUUCUCCAGCGCGUGGUGGCACUCCGCCUCCUUCUCCGCCUGCGCCGACGCGCCCGAGCAGCCAACCUCCUCCUUCUCCGCCUCGUCAGCAAGGGCGGAAGAGACCUGCCGCCACUCCGGCUGCUCCGGCGCGUCGUAGUCCUUCUCCUCCGCCUCGUAAGCAAGUAAAGAAGACAACUGCUCCGUCUGCUCGGCCGGCGUCUAGCAGUACAGCCAGAGGCGGGAGGAAAUACAGAUUUGGUCCUUCUCUGAAGACUCCACAGAAGUUACCAUACGAGAGGACCCCGGAGGAGAACGCCGAGAUCGCACAAGAAGAAGUGAGGAACUACUUUGAAGGGGUGAAAGCAAAGAAACAUCCACCUCCGGAGGAUAAGGUAGAUCCGGUGAAAGCGAAGCGCACUCUGGCUGCCCUAACAAAACCACCCAAGUCUCCGCCGAAAGGAAACUAUGAGCGCAUUAUUGGAAAGGAAUUUGCCGAAGCGGAGCGGUCGGGAAGUACUGUCAGUGAUCAAAGGCUGAAAGAACGACGAGCUGGGAAACAAAUUGCCCAGCUCGGCGAACAAGCGAAGCAAUCGUGCCCCCCGCUCAAGGUGCCUAGCGACAACGUCGCUAAUGAUCCGAGGAUGGUGCCCGGUUAUAGCAAUCUUGGCGAUUACCUGCCCAACGAUGUACAUUAUGAUUUCAUGGAGGUGCAGAUACAAAGAUACGAGUACGGGAAGCCUCUCGUCAAAGAUGAAAGAUCUCUAUCAACGAUGAUGCAAAGAUUGCAUGAUUGGUACUUGAAAAUCUGCAGAGACUCUGGGGGGAGGAGUACUUUGUAUGUGAAAGUUAAAAGGAGCAUGACCUCGUUGGAAUUGAACUGUUGCCUGUUCCAUUUGAGGAGUUCUUUCAGUUUUUCAAUCAAUUGGCCCUCGAUAAAACAACGGUCGCCUGCUACUAUCUGUAAGUAGUACUACUUCUGUCAUUAAGUCUCUCUAUAUAGCUCAGUUCUUUCAUUGCAUGUAUUUAUAAUCAUCCUCACUAUAUUAUGCAGAUUGAAGAUCGCCGAAUUAAAGAAAAGACAAGUCGGUGAUAUUGGGUUCAUUAACGCAUAUCUCAUAGAUGCAACUCAGGUUAAAUUUCAUGCCGCAGCUACCGAGGCCAACUUGCUACGAUCGUUGGUAAUAAAUGAAAACAAAGAUAUAAUACUCUUUCCUUACAACUUCAAGUGAGUGUUACUGUCUUGUGCGUAUUCGGUUUCCCUUAUAUAUUAGUCAAGGUUAUAGUAAUGUAAUUGAUGAGUUAUGCAUACGUGUGCAGUUUCCACUAUAUUCUCCUAGAGAUUAAGCUUGAGCAGGGACUAGUAACCGUCUUAGACUCAAGACGAAAAGAUCCCCAGGACUAUGCAGACAUGACUCAAAUACUCGAGAAGUAAGUUAAAUCGAUCAUUAUCCACCAUAUCAGCAACUUUGUUCAUUUCCUGAUAUAUCAAGUAAUUGUUUUCUUUGUCCGGCAGGGUUUGGAGAAAAUUCACCAGAAAAGCUCCGAGACUGCCGAAGGAGCUGCAAUUUAGACACCCGAAAGUAAGUACUAUAGUAGCAUGUUCCGUGCAUCUACUAGUGAUUCAAGCGCUAGUUUCAUCAAUACCAUUUGGCAUUCUUGCUUAUCAGUUUGAUUGACCUCUAUUUCUUGUAAAGUGGUUGUGGCAGGAACAAGGGAAUGAUUUCUGUGGAUACUACGUUUGCAAGUCCAUCCGCCACACGACCUGUGAGCGGGGCUACACUGACGAACAAUAUGAAGUACGUAAAUAACAACAUUCGCAAUUUUAUUUUAUUACCAUCAUUUGUGUUGAGUUUCAUUCAUUCAUAUAUAUAUAUAUAUAUAUAUAUAUAUGUAUUGACCCCCUUCUUUAAAUUAGAUGUUUCGUAAGCGGGAGGAACUCCUAGCACCAGCUCGCAUGCGAGCAAUUCAAGAGGAAUUGGCGGCAUUCUUUCUUGACCACGUGAUCGCUGAAGACGGAGAAUACUAUGUGGACCAUGAGUCCGUAUGAUUAUAUUUGUAAGAGAUAAUUAUUGUAUAUAUGUAGCCGAUAGUGUCGGAUAGAUAUACGAGAACUUGUUGUUCGACCAUUCUCUCGGAGAAGGAGAGGUGGUCGAUAUCACUUCUCUUUGUAUGCAUAUAUGUUCAUGACGAUCUUCUGUUUCCUUCGUUUGCUUACUAGCUAGCUAGCGUGUCUAGUCCUCUCUAUACGUAUGUAUAAUACGCAGCGUCGACCAAGCACGGACAUAAGAGAGGACACUUCUCUCUAUUAAUUUGUAACGCCCUCGAUGCGGCUAUAUCUCCCACGUGUCGAAGCACGACUUAGAGGCAUAACCGCAUUGAAAGCAAUGUCGAAAAUGAGGUAAUCUUCGCAAACAACCCACAUAAUACAAUAAGGGAAAAGAGAUACAUAGUUGGCUUACAAUCGCCACUUCACACAAUACAUGAAGAAAGCAUUACAUCAACCAAAUACAAUCAAGGUCCGACUACGGAACCAAAAUAAAAGAAGAACCCCAAAUGCGACAAGGUCCCCGAUCGACCCCAACUGGGCUCCACUACUGAUCCACUGGAAAUGAAACAACACGAAGGACAAGAUCUUCAUCGAGCUCCUCCUUGAGCUUGGUUGCGUCGUCUGCACGGACUCAUCGGCGCCUGCAAGCUGGUUUUGGAAGUAUCUGUGAGCCACGGGGACUCAGCAAUCUCGCACCCUCGCGAUCAAGACUAUUUAAGCUUAUGGGAAAGGUAAAGGUAUGAAGGUGGAGCUGCAGCAAGCGACUAGCAUAUAUGGUGGCUAAACAUACGCAAAUGAGAGCGAGAAGAGAAGGCAAAGCACGAUUGAUAAACUAUGAACAAGAAGUGAUCCUAGAACAACCUACGUCAACCAUAACUCCAACACCGUGUUCACUUCCCGGACUCCGCUGGAAAGAGACCAUCACGGUUACACACGCGGUUGAUGCAUUUUAAUUAAGGUCAACUUCAGGUUUUCUACAACCGGAUGUUAACAAAUUCCCAUCUGUCCAUAACCGCAGGCACGGUUUUCGAAAGUUCAAAUCCCUGCAGCGGUGUCCCAACUUAGCCCAUGACAAGCUCUCAUGGUCAACGAAGGAUAUUCCUUCUAGCGGGAAGACCCGAUCAGACUCGGAAUCCCGGUUACAAGACAUUUCGACAAUGGUAAAACAAGACCAGCAAAGCGACCCAGAUGUGCCGACAAAUCCCGAUAGGAGCUGCACAUAUCUCGUUCUCAGGGCACACCGAAUGAGCCAGACGUCGGGUGGGCCAGCCCAGAGUUGCCCCUGGUGGCUUCGGACAUCGCUCGGUUGGACCAACACUUAGACAAGCACUGGCCGGGGGGGGGGUUAAAAAUAAAGAUGACCCUUGGGCUGGCCUAACCCAAGGGAAAAAGAGGCUAGGUGGCAAAUGGUAAAACCAAUGUUGGGCCUUGCUGGAGGAGUUUUAUUCAAGGCGAACUGUCAAGGGGUUCCCAUUAUUACCCAACCGCGUAAGGAACGCAAAAUCCAGGAACAUAACACCGAUAUGACGGAAACUAGGGCGGCAAGAGUGGAACAAAACACCAGGCAUAAGGCCGAGCCUUCCACCCUUUACCAAGUAUAUAGAUGCAUUAAUUAAAUAAGAGAUAAGGUGAUAUCCCAACAAGUAAACAUGUUCCAACACGGAACAACAUCUCCAUGUUCCAACAAGGAACAAACUUUAAUCUUCACCUGCAACUAACAACGCUAUAAGAGGGGCUGAGCGAAACUGUAACAUAGCCAAUCAACGGUUUGCUAGGACAAGGUGGGUUAGAGGCUUGGUUUAACAAUAUGGGAGGCAUGAUAAGCAAGUGGUAGGUAUCACAACAUAGGCAUAGCAAAAGAGCGAGCAUCUAGCAAGCAAAGAUAGAAGUGAUUUCGAGGGUAUGGUCAUCUUGCCUGAGAUCCCGCAAGGAAGAAGAACAAGUCCAAGAAGAAGACGAAUGGAUCCUCACAACGCGACGUUACCGGAACCAACCUGAAGAAUCAAACACCGGAAAGAAGCACACAACUUAGUAAACAACCAACACAUGAACAUGGUAUGAUAUGCGGGAUGCGGUAUGCGAUGCAUAUGCAUGAUUUGACAAGGAAUGAAUGAACCUGGCCACAACUUGGAAAUCCAAGGGUGCCACUGGAAAGGUGAGAUGAAAUCGCUUGAAAAUGAUAUAAAGAUCACCGAAAUCGGAGUUACGGUUUGGAAAUGGCAAGCAAUACAAAUAUGACCACGGUCUGUGAUUUACAGCAAGUAGCCAUCUAAAUGCAACAAGAAGAACAUGCUACAGCACUCAAACAUGGCAACAAAAUACAUGGCAGUGAUCCAUUCAUGAUGCUUAACAGAAUAUGAACACUGAGCUACGCCCAAUUCAUCCAUUAACAGGUUCAAACAAGCAUGGAAAAAGAGCAAAUGGUAAACAGAUUUCAGACUUAGUGAAAUUAACACAAGCCUGGAAUUUCAGAUCACGUAGCACACUUUGAAGCAAGAAAACUAUAAGCUACAGGAACUGAACAUGGCAAAGUAAAGCAUGGAAUGGAGCUAAUCAAAAAGCUUAACAAAAGUCCCUUAGUGACCUUGAGCCAAAAGGGAUCAGAUAAUACAAUUGCAAGCAUGUGAACAUGGCAAAAACAUAAUCAGAUCUCAGACUUAGUGAAAAACUGGAGGAUGCAAAUCAGAUAUCAAGUAGGCAUGUUUACGAGCUCGAUGCACUCACUACAGAGCAAGACAUGACAAUCUAAGCAUACACCCAUCAAGAAUACACAAAAUACAAGCUAGACAUUGCAAGAACAAUCACAUAGCAUGCACGGAUCAACUACAACAUCCUCGGCAAAAUUGCUAACAAGUAGACAAUCUGCCCAGAUUCACGAAAUAGCAAAAGUAGAGCUCGAUUGACUCAAGCUAGGGUGCUCCAUAAUUGCAAACAACUACAUGGAUGGACAGAGCACUACAAGAUUAACAAAACAUCCUUACUGAUCAUCCUCAAAAGAGGCACAGAUCACUAGGAAACAACAUGAACAUAUGGCAUAUUGAGAUAAACAGAUCAAGGACUUAGUGGAAUUGCUAAGUCCCUGAAAUCAACAUUAACGAAUGCACCACUUUGCAAGCUUGUGCUAGUCACCACACACAUCACAAAAAUACAUGGGUUGCACCUCUGGAAAGAUGGCAAAGCAUAUAACAAAACUCAUGUAGAGCUCAGGGGCAUAUCAUGCACACAACAAUCAUGGCAAAAAUGACAAAUAUCUAAAUGGAGCAACAGAUCUGACAAUUAUCUCAAACAACACUCUUCCAGCAGCAUUUCGGGCAUCAAGAUGAACUCAAAUGAAAAUGAUGCAAUGAGAUGAAAUGAUGUGCUCUCUGAGUCGAACAUUUCGAUAUGCUACACACAUGAAUUGGAGCUACGGAUGCGGAGUUACGACAUGAUGAACAAGGGCAUAUGAAUCUGGGAUGCGAAAAGUCAACGCGGGAUGAGGUGGUGCGGGAUGACGAGAUCUGGGACGCGGGGCGGCGCUGUUUGGUUCAGGGGAGUUGUGGAUCUCAUCCCACUCCCCGGAUCCGGCCGGACUUUGAACUCCGGCGAGGCGAGGGCGAGAAAGGACGGCGGCGGGGCGGCGCUUGCGCCGGCGAUGCGGUGGCGGGAGACGGUGGCGGUCGACGCCGGCGAAUGGAGGCAGUGGCCGGGCGGCGUGCCGCGGCGGACGACGUCGNNNNNNNNNNNNNNNNNNNNNNNNNNNNNNNNNNNNNNNNNNNNNNNNNNNNNNNNNNNNNNNNNNNNNNNNNNNNNNNNNNNNNNNNNNNNNNNNNNNNNNNNNNNNNNNNNNNNNNNNNNNNNNNNNNNNNNNNNNNNNNNNNNNNNNNNNNNNNNNNNNNNNNNNNNNNNNNNNNNNNNNNNNNNNNNNNNNNNNNNNNNNNNNNNNNNNNNNNNNNNNNNNNNNNNNNNNNNNNNNNNNNNNNNNNNNNNNNNNNNNNNNNNNNNNNNNNNNNNNNNNNNNNNNNNNGGCGACGGGGCGCGAAGAAGACGACGGGUGGAUGGCGUGGCUCGGUUGGGAGGGCGGCGCAGCGGAUCCGGGCCGGGCGAUCCGGAUCGGGGCGUCUCGGGCCCGGGGGCGCGGGGACGGCGGCGGCGACAGGUGGCGGUCCCUGAGUGGCUGAGGCGGCGGGGAAGCUGACGUGGCGACGCCUGAUUCGCCAGAGCGAGGUGGCGGAGGCGGCGGACAUGUCCGGGCGGCGCGGGACGAAAUGUCCGGCGGCGCGCGGAGGAGUAGGUUAGGGUUCAUCUGCGCGAAAAUUCCGGGAGGGGACACAUAUUUAUAGGUAGAGGGAGCUAGGAGAGUCCAAAUUAGGUGCGGUUUUCGGCCAUGCGAUCGUGAUCGAACGACCGAGAUGAUGGAUGAGGUUUAGGUGGGUUUUGGCAAAAUUGGAGGGGUGUUGGGCUGCAACACACACGAGGCCUUCUCGGUCCCUCAGUUAACCGUUGGAGCAUCAAACGAAGUCCAAAUGGUACGAAACUUGACAUGCGGUCUACCGGUAGUAAACCAAGGCCGCUUGGCAAGUCUCAGUCCAAUCCGGAAAUGUUUAAUCCCCACACACGAGAAUAAGGUAGAAAUGACCACCGGAGGAGAACGGAGCGCCGGAUUGCAAAACGGACAACGGGAAAAGUGCUCGGAUGCAUGAGACGAACAUGUAUGCAAAUGAAAUGCACAUGAUGACAUGAUAUGCAAUGCAUGACAUGCAAGCAAUGGCAAAGCAACAACAGCGAAUAACUAGACGACACCUGGCACAUCGGUCACGGGGCGUUACAACACUCCACCACUAUGAGAGGAUCUCGUCCCGAGAUCUAGAAUGGCACCGAAGGGAAAACGGAAGAGAAAGAGAAGAGGUAAAACUAAGUUGCUUCUUUGACGAACGAGUGAAACCACGAACCUUGAAAAGGUUAAGCCAUUUUGAGAAAAGAAUACAACGGAGAUAAAUGAAGUUGAAAGCACUCCAUUAAGAAAGGGGAAAAGGAAAGAACCGAUUCGGGUAGCACUCCGGUUUAGAAGGGAUGCAAGGCUUGAUAAGGUGAAAGGAACUUGAGCAAAAACGUCACAACACUCCGGUUAAAAGGAUAAGCAUGAAAGGAAUAAGGUCCUGACAAAAAUAAGAAGAAGGGUUGAAGAGAGCAACAUCACAAUGCCUCCGGAAGAAAAGAGAGAAUGGAAUGGAUGGAACGGAGGAGAGAACAAUAUUUUCUAUCUCGAAUGAGCUUGAAAAAAGGCAUCCUUAGGAGAAUGAUCGAACGGAGAUGUUGGAAAUCCAACAACGAAAAAGAGUAAGCUUCUAGUGGACUUAUGGAGAACAUCUCAAAACUAUGAGGUGAAAAUUCUACCACUAACGGAAAACAAUGGAUUUGAAUUGAUAUCAACAAGGAAACGAGAAACUUAUACCACCGAGAGGAUAAAAGAACUUGGGUCAAUAAUAAGCACCAUAGGUAUCAACAAUCCUUAGGGAACGCUCUAGGUGAAAUAUAACCCAAGAUAAUUCCAAUGAAGAGGUUGAUGGAUUUAAAUACCUCAUUCUUAACAACAUGUGAAUCAUGAGACAUGAACUCAAAUUAUCAAGAAUGACGUAAUACCACCUCGAAUGAUACGGUUGAAAGAAUUGCACUUUAAAAUGCAAGAUAAAGAAUACUUGAGCUCCUCUGAAAAGAAUAUCGAUGAAAACUUCGAGAAGGAAUUAAAUCCUUGAUGAACCAUCAUGUAGAACCUCCAUGAGAAGUCCGGAAAUAAAAGAAAUGAUCAAUCAAAAUGGAGGAUGAAAAGAAUAAGGUUGAAGCCUUGCAAUGAUUAGAUGGAUCUUCAUGAUGAUGAAAGCUUGGAACUCUGGGAAAAGAAAAGAUGAAACAAAUGAAAAUGAGAAUAAGAUAUGAUGAACCACUCCGGAAAAAGGAAUUAAUCACUUGGAUGGAACAAGAAUAAGAAUUAUGUUAUGCGUAUCCUUCAACAAUUUAAUUGCUGACAAGCAACGGAUUUGCCAUAUUACUUAUUCUCGUAGAAAAAAAUUAAGAGAGAUAUAACAUAAACUAGAGAAAAUCUUCAACACACCACUGGUAGAAUUGAAAUAACGAAUAAAUUGAUGAGGAAGAGAAGUCUUGAACGAACCAUCGUAAGAAUCAAAAUGAACGAAGAAAAGAUAAAGAAACACCGGGAAGAAUUAGAAAACGAAUGAAGAUACUUGAAGGAAUUUAGAUACAUGAGACGACGAGAUCACGAGCUGAUUAGAGAUCACUUGAACGAUGCACCGGUAAGAUUUGGAGUAUGAGAACUGAAAGCUGGAAUGAAUAAUUCUGAUAUGAUGGCCUCCAGAGAAUCAAACUGAAAAGACUCCUGAAUUGCUCCGGAUAGGUGAAAAGAAAUCUCACAUUUGAAAACAAUUAUGAGAGGAUGGUCUCGAACUAGAACCGCGAAUCCCUGAGAGAACGGAUAAGAUAUAGAGGUAAGGCUCUUCUUUGGUCUUCAAAUGAUGAGAAAGACGAUGAGAAACACCACCGUGAAUUGUUGAGACACUCCAGAAUAGAGAAGAAUAGAAAAGUUGAACCAAUGAUGAAAAGAAUUUGGAAGAUCUUGGAGAAAGACAUUUGACUGAUGAUAAAUCAUUCUUACGUCAAACUUCGAAAAGAAAUUUGAGGAUAGCUCUGGGAAAAAAAAGAAGAGUCAGGUAAGAUCCUGGGAGAAGACCUGUGGGUUAGGGCCCACUCAAAAGAAACACCGUUGAAAUGAUUUAAAAGAGAGGUUGCACUGAUUGAAUUAAAUGGCUUGAAUGAGAUAACAACCUCGAAAUAGGUUGGACGGAUCUUGAAUGACAAGACGAGCCUUUUGAGAAAGCUUGAGCACGCCGGAACAAAUGAAUAGCGAGAAAUGACUGAAUAUGAGGUGCACCGGCAUGAGAAGGUAUUUGCAACAAGGAAAGAAUAUAAUUGGCAAAGCUUGAAUUGAAUUCAUCGGAUAAAAGAGAACGAAGAAUGAUGAACUAGAAGCUCUGUUAGAAUCUUCAUGACAAUCACCGGAUACGAACAUUGACUGAAAAGAACGAAGGGACUUCACAUGAAUAAAAUGGAUAUUUGAUUAAGAAUUCCAAGUCCUCGAAGAAAACAAGGGAGGGAGGGCGGGAAAACAAAGGCAACUUGGGAUGGAUGAAACGAACACCAUUGAGAAAGCUGAGAUUGAAUCUUGCGGAUAUUGAAAAGAUCGGAUCCACUUGAAGAGAAAAAACACGCCAGGUGAAAAGUUUUGACAAGACAAUCUUGAUGAUCAAGAAGGAUUGGUAUCCACAUCGGAGUAUGAGAACACCGCUUAGGAAAGAUAUGGAAUCAACAUUUGACUUCGAAGCAACUCGAAUACCACAACUCAAAACAAAACAAAGGAUUGGCUUGCGGAGUAAGCCGGAACAAGCAUAUGAUAGAGAUUUCGUACAUCACCAUCAUGUACAAGGCUAUGCACAUGACAUAUGAAGCGUCCCCGAGUCGGCAUAGACAAGGACUCUUUAAGACACAACGAGACCACUGUAAAACCAACCGUGAAUAGGUGGACCACUAGACGUCGAACCCCAAUUUCAUAUCAUACAUCUGUCGGGAAGAUAUCCUAAGAGCUACUUGAAUUCCCACCUAUGAAACUCCCGAACCUUUCUGGUUAUGCAAUCAGGUGUUGGGGAUACAGGGGAAGCAUAAUAUCUCACCCAAAUCUAGCAAUUCCUACAUCCAGUUGUAUCCAUCCUUCAACACAUAACCGAGAAAAACUUCGGAAACCAUCUACCUCAACCUUCGAAAAGCAUCCGUUAUACCAGCUAUGGCAAUACUCCCGAACUCCCACCCCAGUACUGGGUGGCGUCGAGGUUAUCUCACCAACGAACUACAUAAAAGAGAUUUUCGAUGUCGGCGUACUAAACUUAGGUAUUCCAGAAUAGUAACAAUAAAAUUGUGACGACAACACCUCGGAGCUCAACUCCCCGGGACACUGCCACAACCCCUAAAUGACAGGAGGCACCAAGAACAAUGUUCUCGUCACAAAACCAUCGGAACGAUUCCAAGAUACCUGCGUGAUCCUAAAUUUUUUUUAGUAAAAUUUAAGAAGAGAAGAGUCAAAACUCUACGUCAGGAUGCCUCACCAGAGCGACGAAGGGACUGGGGAGUAAAAAGAAUUCCUAAACUCUCUGAUAUAUAAUUCCUAAAUGACUCAAAACAUUUUUCUAGACUCAACUCGUCCGCUAAUUCGAUCAAUCAGUGGGGGCUCCUAAGGUCGGGGAUGGCUCUGAUACCAACUUGUAACGCCCUCAAUGCGGCUAUAUCUCCCACGUGUCGAAGCACGACUUAGAGGCAUAACCGCAUUGAAAGCAAUGUCGCAAGUGAGGUAAUCUUUGCAAACAACCCAUGUAAUACAAUAAGGGAAAAGAGAUACAUAGUUGGCUUACAAUCGCCACUUCACACAAUACAUGAAGAAAGCAUUACAUCAACCAAAUACAAUCAAGGUCCGACUACGGAACCAAAAUAAAAGAAGAACCCCAAAUGCGACAAGGUCCCCGAUCGACCCCAACUGGGCUCCACUACUGAUCCACUGGAAACGAAACAACACGAAGGACAAGAUCUUCAUCGAGCUCCUCCUUGAGCUUGGUUGCGUCGUCUGCACGGACUCAUCGGCGCCUGCAAGCUGGUUUUGGAAGUAUCUGUGAGCCACGGGGACUCAGCAAUCUCGCACCCUCACAAUCAAGACUAUUUAAGCUUAUGGGAAAGGUAAAGGUAUGAAGGUGGAGCUGCAGCAAGCGACUAGCAUAUAUGGUGGCUAAACAUACGCAAAUGAGAGCGAGAAGAGAAGGCAAAGCACGAUCGAUAAACUAUGAUCAAGAAUUGAUCCUAGAACAACCUACGUCAAUCAUAACUCCAACACCGUGUUCACUUCCCGGACUCCGCCGGAAAGAGACCAUCACGGUUACACACGUGGUUGAUGCAUUUUAAUUAAGGUCAACUUCAGGUUUUCUACAAUUGGACGUUAACAAAUUCCCAUCUGCCCAUAACCGCGGGCACGGUUUUCGAAAGUUCAAAUCCCUGCAGGGGUGUCCCAACUUAGCCCAUGACAAGCUCUCACGGUCAACGAAGGAUAUUCCUUCCAGCGGGAAGACCCGAUCAGACUCAGAAUCCCGGUUACAAGACAUUUCGAUAAUGGUAAAACAAGAGCAGCAAAGCCACCCAGAUGUGCCGACAAAUCCCGAUAGGAGCUGCACAUAUCUCGUUCUCAGGGCACACCGGAUGAGCCAGACGUUGGGUGGGCCAGCCCAGAGUUGCCCCUGGUAGCUCCGAACAUCGCUCGGUUGGACCAACACUUAGACAAGCACUGGCCCGGGGGGGGGGGGCGGUUAAAAAUAAAGAUGACCCUUGGGCUGGCCUAACCCAAGGGAAAAAGAGGCUAGGUGGCAAAUGGUAAAACCAAUGUUUGGCCUUGCUGGAGGAGUUUUAUUCAAGGCAAACUAUCAAGGGGUUCCCAUUAUUACCCAACCGCGUAAGGAACGCAAAAUCCGGGAACAUAACACCGAUAUGACGGAAACUAGGGCGGCAAGAGUGGAACAAAACACCAGGCAUAAGGCCGAGCCUUCCACCCUUUACCAAGUAUAUAUAUGCAUUAAUUAAAUAAUAGAUAAGGUGAUAUCCCAACAAGUAAACAUGUUCCAACAUGGAACAACAUCUCCAUGUUCCAACAAGGAACAAACUUCAAUCUUCACCUGCAACUAACAACGCUAUAAGAGGGGCUGAGCGAAGCGGUAACAGAGCCAAUCAACGGUUUGCUAGGACAAAGUGGGUUAGAGGCUUGGUUUAACAAUAUGGGAGGCAUGAUAAGCAAGUGGUAGGUAUCACAGCAUAGGCAUAGCAAAAGAGCGAGCAUCUAGCGAGCAAAGAUAGAAGUGAUUUCGAGGGUAUGGUCAUCUUGCCUGAGAUCCCGCAAGGAAGAAGAACGAGUCCAAGAAGAAGACGAACGGACGUAGUCGAACGGAUCCUCACAACGCGACGUUACCGGAACCAACCCAAAGAAGCAAACACCGGAAAGAAGCACACAACAUAGUAAACAACCAACACAUGAACAUGGUAUGAUAUGCGGGAUGCGGUAUGCGAUGCAUAUGCAUGAUUUGACAAGGAAUGAAUGAACCUGGCCUCAACUUGGAAAUCCAAGUGUGCCACUGGAAAGGUGAGAUGAAAUCGCUUGAAAACGAUAUAAAGAUCACCGAAAUCGGAGUUACAGUUUGGAAAUGGCAAGCAAUACAAAUAUGACCACGAUCUGCGAUUUACAGCAAGUAGCCAUCUAAAUGCAACAAGAAGAACAUGCUACAACACUCAAACAUGGCAACAAAAUACAUGGCAGGGAUCCAUUCAUGAUUCUUAACAAAAGAUGAACACUGAGCUACGGCCAAUUCAUCCAUUAACAGGUUCAAACAAGCAUGGCAAAAGAGCAAACGGUAAACAGAUUUCAGACUUAGUGAAAUUAACAAAAGCCUGGAAUUUCAGAUCAGGUAGCACACUUUGAAGCAAGAAAACUAUAAGCUAUAGGAACUGAACAUGGCAAAAUAAAGCAUGGAAUGGAGCUAAUCAAAGAGCUUAACAAAAGUCCCUUAGUGACCUUGAGGCAAAAGGGAUCAGAUAAUACAAUUGCAAGCAUGUGAACAUGGCAAAAACAUAAUCAGAUCUCAGACUUAGUGAAAAACUGGAGCAUGCAAAUCAGAUAUCAAGUAGGCAUAUUUACGAGGUCGAUGCACUCACUACAGAGCAAGACAUGACAAUCUAAGCAUACACCCAUCAAGAAUACACAAAAUACAAGCUAUACAUUGCAAGAACAAUCACAUAGCAUGCACGGAUCAACUACAACAUCCUCGGCAAAAUUGCUAACAAGUAGACAAUCUUCCCAGAUUCACGAAAUAGCAAAAGUAGAGCUCGAUUGACUCAAGCUAGGGUGCUCCAUAAUUGCAAACAACUACAUGGAUGUAUAGAGCACUACAAGAUUAACAAAACAUCCUUACUGAUCAUCCUCAAACGAGGCACGGAUCACUAGGAAACAACAUGAACAUAUGGCAUAUUGAGAUAAACAGAUCAAGGACUUAGUGGAAUUGCUAAGUCCCUGAAAUCAGCGUUAACGAAUGCACCACUUUGCAGGCUUGUGCUAGUCACCACACACAUCACAAAAAUACAUGGGUUGCACCUCUAGAAAGAUGGCAAAGCAUAUAACAAAACUCAUGUAGAGCUCAGGGGCAUAUCAUGCACACAACAAUCAUGGCAAAAAUGACAAAUAUCUAAAUGGAGCAGCAGAUCUGACAAUUAUCUCAAAUAGCACUCUUCCAACAGCAUUUCGGGUAUCAGGAUGAACUCAAAUGAAAAUGAUGCAAUGAGAUGAAAUGAUGUGCUCUUUGAGAUGAACAUUUUAAUAUUCUACACGCAUGAAUCGGAGCUACGGAUGUGGAGUUACGACAUGAUGAACAAGGGCAUAUGAAUCUGGGAAUUUCGGGGACUUAGUGAAAUACUACCUCCGCGAAAAGUCAACGCGGGAUGAGGUGGUGCGGGGUGACGAGAUCCGGGAUGCGGGGCGGCGCUGUUUGGUUCAGGGGAGUGGUGGAUCUCAUCCCACUCCCCGGAUCCGGCCGGACUUCGAACUCCAGCGAGGCGAGGGCGAGAAAGGACGGCGGCGGGGCGGCGCUUGCGCCGGCAAUGCGGUGGUGGGAGACGGCGGCGGUCGACGCCGGCGAACGAAGGCGGUGGCCGGGCGGCGUGUCGAGGCGGACGAAGUCGGCCNNNNNNNNNNNNNNNNNNNNNNNNNNNNNNNNNNNNNNNNNNNNNNNNNNNNNNNNNNNNNNNNNNNNNNNNNNNNNNNNNNNNNNNNNNNNNNNNNNNNNNNNNNNNNNNNNNNNNNNNNNNNNNNNNNNNNNNNNNNNNNNNNNNNNNNNNNNNNNNNNNNNNNNNNNNNNNNNNNNNNNNNNNNNNNNNNNNNNNNNNNNNNNNNNNNNNNNNNNNNNNNNNNNNNNNNNNNNNNNNNNNNNNNNNNNNNNNNNNCACGGAGCAACUCCGGCGACCGGGCACGAAGAAGACAACGGGCGGACCGCGCGGCUCGGUCGGGAGGGCGGCGCGGCGGAUCCAGGCCGGGCGGGCCGGAUUUGGGCGUCUCGGGCCCGGGGGCGCGGGGACGGCGGUGGCGACAGGUGGCGGUCCCUGAGUGGCUGAGGCGGCGGGGAAGCUGACAUGGCGACGCCUGAUUCGCCGGAGCGAGGUGGCGGAGGCGGCGGACAUGUCCGGGCGGCGCGCGGAGGAGGAGGUUAGGGUUCAUCUGCGCGAAAAUUCCUGGAGGGAACACAUAUUUAUAGGUAGAGGGAGCUAGGAGAGUCCAAAUGUGGUGCGGUUUUCGGCCACGCGAUCGUGAUCGAACGACCGAGAUGAUGGAUGAGGUUUAGGUGGGUUUUGGCCAAAUUGGAGGGGUGUUGGGCUGCAACACACACGAGGCCUUCUCGGUCCCUCGGUUAACCGUUGGAGCAUCAAACGAAGUCCAAAUGGUACGAAACUUGACAGGCGGUCUACCAGUAGUAAACCAAGGCCGCUUGGCAAGUCUCGGUCCAAUCCGGAAAUGUUUAAUCCCCACACAUGAGAAGAAGGUAGAAAUGACCACCGGAGGAGAACGGAGCGCCGGAUUGCAAAACGGACAACGGGAAAAGUGCUCAGAUGCAUGAGACAAACAUGUAUGCAAAUGAAAUGCACAUGAUGACAUGAUAUGCAAUGCAUGACACGCAAGCAAUGGCAAAGCAACAACAGCGAAUAACUGGACGACACCUGGCACAUCGGUCACGGGGCGUUACAUAAUUAUAGCUAGCUAACACAAUAUAUGAAACACCUAAAUUAACCCCCCAAAACCCCCAAACCCCCCCCCUUUCAAAAAAAAACAAAAACCCCAGCCACAGAAAUGCUGACGCGUGAAUGCCUAUUGGUCCCGGUUGGUGCCACCAACCGGGACCAAAGGGUCUCCUGCCUGGGCUCCGCGCACAGGCCACGUGGAGGCCCAUCUGUCCCGGUUCUGGAUUGAACCGGGACUAAAGGGACAGGGCAUUAGUACCGACCCUUUAGUCCCGGUUCCAGAACCGGGACAAAAGGCCCUUACGAACCGGGACAACAUGCCCUUUUUCUACCAGUGCAUAUAUGAUGUAAAAACUAAGCAAUGCAAGACAACAUGCAUGACAUGGGUAAUAUAACCCUGCCAAGUUUGAGCAUAGACCUCAGGGGGAAAAUAGGACUGGUCAUCAGUCUCUGAAUCCUCCUAUGAGGAGCUCUCUGUAACCAGCAAGAUGUCUGCUUCAGCAGGUAGCAUUGUCUGCUCUGAAUACCUUAUUUUCACUCCAGAUACUUCCAUCACCGCUUCAAAUGGCUGAUGCACAGGAAGAGUAGUUGAAUAUACAAACGUUGUCGACAAAUGGAACAUGUAAUACAAAAAAUGAUAGCAUGAUAUAAUUCACAUACAUGAUGAUUGGCUAAACAACAUGGCAUUGCAUAAUUCACAUAUAUAAUGCCUUUGCAACAAGAUAUCAUUGUAUAAUUCACAUAUAUAAUGUCUUGCAACAAGAUGGCAAUGCAUAAUUCACAUAUAUGGUAAUUAGACACUGAAUAGGUGGCAUUCACACAAAGCAUGUCUAAACUAAUCAAAUGACAUAGCAAUGCGAGGCACCAUACACACGAUAUGAGCAACAUAACCCUGCUAAGUUAGAGCAUACACCUCAGGGGGGGGGGAAUAGGACUGGUCAUCUGUCUCUGAAUCCUCCUCUGAGGAGCUAUCCGUAACUAGCGAGAUAUGCGCUUCGUCAGAUAGCAUAGUCUGCUCUGAAGACCUUGUUUUCACUCCAGAAUUUGCCAUCACCGUGUCAAAUGGCUGAUGCACACGAAGAGCAGUUGAAUGUAAUAAUAUUUUUGACAAAUGUAAUAUGUAACCAAAAAAAGGAUGGCCUGAUAUAAUUUACAUAUAAGAUGACUGGCUAAGCAGGAUGGCAUUGCAAAAUUCACAUAUAUGAUGCCUGGCUAAACAAGAUGGUGUUGCAUAAUUUACAUAAACGACGAAUAAACUAAACAGAUGGCAUUCGCACAAAGGAUGUCUAAACUAAGCAGAUGACAUAUUUGAUGUAUAAAGUAAGCAAUGCAAGACACCAUAUGCAUGAUAUAACCAACAUCAGCAUGCCAAGUUAGAGCGAAGACCUCAAGGGGUAAAUAGGAGUUGUCUUCUCCUUCUGAAUCCCCCUCAGAACAGAUAUCUUCCUCUCGAUUACAAUCCGAAAUGCAUGGAGGGGGGCUACCUUUGCGCCUACCAUGGAGCGACGUCUGCAUGAAAUUUUAUUGCCAUGCAAGGCUCGUCUCUUUUGCUCUACAUGUUCAGUUCCAUUGUUUACAAUAACUGUCAUGCAUAGGAAUAAAACAUAGUGACAUUAUGUAAGGAGUGCAUGCAGAAAUCCAGAGUGAUGGUAGCAACCUGUGGAUAUACCCAAAACCAAUAAUAGCAGGCAGAUAAUGGCUUCAGUUAAAAAAUACAGAUAAUGGCUUCUUUACUGUUUGUUUCCCACCCAACAUGAAACUCAUAGUAGACACCGGAGAUUAACCAGAUAGUAGAUAGAUAAUAUUGAUAGCGGCCCCGAUAUGUACCCCACAACCAUUUAAAAACUCAAGUUUGACCAUUAGUUUGGAGCUGACUUAGAGUCUAAUCAGUGAACAGGACGAUAAAGUAGCAUGUAAUAUUAAGCGAUGCAUAACGUAAGCAUACACGAAAGAGUGAGACCUCUCUUGCGGACCCGUGUAGUCCUCGAGGUCAUCUGCUCGGUUGAUGAUGGUAGUGCGGUUUUCAUGGCUGCCAGUGGCGGGGAAGAAGAUCUGAGGCGGCGAAAGAUAGUCUGGAGGCUGGAUCCCUGCUGUGCUGGACCCUUCUAUCGUUGGAGCAGCUGAGCUGGGGUGGACGACAGCGCAGCAGGAGCGGGACAAACCACACAAGGUUUUCUUUGACAACUAUCUGUAAGAGAAGUAAUUCUGUAAGGGCUCAUUAGAAUUGGAGGAUUCCAACAAUGCAGGGAUAGGAAAUAGACAGGAAUAGGAUAGGAAUGCACGUGUAAAACAGAGAAUUUAAAGACACGGGAUUUCUGCCAAUCUGGUGUUUGAUUCACAACAAUUGGAAGAUCACAGGAUGCAAAGAAGCAUGGUGACAUUAAGUCAAACCACAAGAAAAUGUACGGUUAUAAUGCUAUUAUGCUACUAUCUCUUAGUCUUGUGCUUCAUGAAUAGGAAUUUGAAAAGGAGGACAAGUGAAAAUUAAAAUUCCUACGUUUUUUCUUUCAAGGAGACACUAAAGGAACAAAUCCGUGUGCUCAAUGGACAAUAUAUAUAACAUGUAGAGUAAAAAAGAGAUGCAACAAGUGUACAACCUCUUUGGCGAAGCCAUGUCGAUCUCAGCAUGAUUGGGUUGGCCGGUGAGAAUGCUCCGGCUGACUUGGCUGUCGGAGGAGGGGAAGAAGAUCUUAGGCGUCUGGAGAUGGAGCCCGAGGUACUGCUCCGCUGUGAUGGAGGGUUUCGUUGUUGGAGCAGCUCCAGUGAGUUGUACGACGCCGAGGCUGAAGCAGGACAAGAGAGACAACGAACAACGUUAACCUGAGUGGAAUUCUAAUAGCAUCUCCAAUACAUGACGUAAAAUACAUAACCACAAAGUGCUAGAUGUAAAAUACAUCAGCCGCCCAUCUCUGAACUUAACUGUCGAAACUGAAUUUAACUGUCGAAACUGAACUUAACUGUCGAAACUGAAUUUUGCUGUCGGAACUGAAUUUUGCUGUCGAAACUGAACGCACUAGCAAGGUGAGGCUACACGUCGGUCGACUGACUUUUUCAUCUUUGGUAAGUCGAUUUUGCAGCCGUUGGAUACAAAAUCUAGGGCCUGCGGUUCGUCUUCAACCUCCACCCCCUGGGCCGGCUAAACAGCAGCCCCCGCCGCCCGCGGCCGGCGGUGCGCCGCCCCGCCCUCCCCGAAAACACUCCCCACCGCCGGUNNNNNNNNNNNNNNNNNNNNNNNNNNNNNNNNNNNNNNNNNNNNNNNNNNNNNNNNNNNNNNNNNNNNNNNNNNNNNNNNNNNNNNNNNNNNNNNNNNNNNNNNNNNNNNNNNNNNNNNNNNNNNNNNNNNNNNNNNNNNNNNNNNNNNNNNNNNNNNNNNNNNNNNNNNNNNNNNNNNNNNNNNNNNNNNNNNNNNNNNNNNNNNNNNNNNNNNNNNNNNNNNNNNNNNNNNNNNNNNNNNNNNNNNNNNNNNNNNNNNNNNNNNNNNNNNNNNNNNNNNNNNNNNNNNNNNNNNNNNNNNNNNNNNNNNGAUUCAGUCGACUAAAGUGUAGCUAAAUCGGAGCAGCAUCGCAAGCAAGAUCAAGAGCAAGAGCAGCAGCACGGGCAAGAGCAAUAGCAAGAGCAGACCAGGCAGGGGACCGAGAGCAAGAGUAGAGCAGCAACGCGAGCGAGAGCUAAAGCAGUAGCAGGUCCUACUAAUGUGGACGUCGCCGCCGAGGGAGCGACGCCGUGGAGGAAGUGUCCGGCGACGCCACCGUGGAUGGAGCCGUGCCGUGUCGGCUCGGGACCGAGCGCCGGCAGCACCGUGAGAUCGAAUCAAGAAGAAAAUGCGGCGAUUAGUGUACAACCUCUUUGGUGGCGCCGAUUAGGCCGCAGCUUCAUCCGAGGAAAUGGUGAUGAUGAUGCUCUUCCGGUGGUGCAGGUGAAGACGGCGGUGUGGGAAUGGAGGUGGCGCGAAAGACGAGGGGAACGUCGGGGCAGCUCCUUGGAGGUGGAGGACGGGGUGGCUGAACCGGCGGGACGAUGAGAUCGACGAUAGAUCCUCAUCCGAUACGGUGGAUGAGGGACGUCGAGGUGUUGCUGUGGACGACGUCGUCGGGGAAGAGGCUCCGGCUGGGUGGCGGGCGGAGCAGGGUGUGGGGUUUCGUCGCGGGUUUUCGCGGCCUCGGUGUACGAAUGGGUGGGCGGAUGGGAUGGCAGUGGGGAACCAUGGCUUAGAGACGCGCUUGUCCGAAAUGUGGGGUAAGUUACGAAAGUACCCCCACCGAUUUGAGGCGGUUCUUUUGGUUCAGGGGUACCACGGGCAUUUCGCGUUUCGGGAUUUCAUAGGAGGUGGGAGUUUUCGCGCGUGUUGUAAUUUCGGAAUAGCAAGGCGUGGGUUGAGAUGGAGGGAGUUGUCGGAGCACAACGAGACAAAGAUAAAUCUUAAAUAUUUCGGGCUAACAAGGCGCGGGUUGAAAUUUCCGGACAAGCCUAACAUGUACUGUCCCAAAUCAAUGCGCCCUACAAAUGUCAUUCAAAACUUUGAAUUCAUGUUAUGUUCAAUUAAAAUAUUUUGCUACGUGUAUAAUGCAUGCAACCUACUACUCAAAUGAACGUUUUAGUGCAUUCCAAACGUAUAUACUACCGCUUCAAUAUGAACUAAAUUUGAAUUCGUUUCUCUAGUUGAAUAAGAUCUACAGUAAUGAUUGUUGCGAAGUCAAAGCAUUUGAAUUCGUUUCUCUGUUUUAAUAAGAUCUACAAUCAUCAUUAUUGUCAAGUUAAACCAUCGUUUGUGUAUUAUCUUCACAGCACACCACAUGAUUAGUCUCGAGUUACAUAUGAACUAUGUGUACUCCUAUAUGAACUCCAACUAGAUUUUUUGAAUCCACUUUAUUUUGAUUUCAAAUCACAUUACAUUUCUAGCUCUAGCUAGAUCUUCAUAAUCUAAACCAUGUCUCAUAUGUAUAAUGUGUUUAUCACAUUAUGUAUGGUGCCCCGCCCCCUACGCCUACAAGUAUUUAGAUGUGAGUUGCAAACACCACACAUUACCAAAAAUUCAAAUAAAAUGUGAGAAUGUUCGAUAUAUAGUAUUGUUUAGAUUGUUCGAUAUUUAGUUGUAAGCUGCGAACGCCACACAUUAUCACAAAUUCAAAUAAAAUGUGAGAUUGUUUGAUGUAUAGUAUGGUUUAGAUUGUUCGGCAUUUAGCUGUGAGUUGCAAACGCCAUGCAUUAUCACAUUAUGGUAUAACAUGUGCACAUCACGUGUAUCACCACUAUAUUCAUGCAUGCAAUGUUUAAAACACUAUGAUCUCCUAUUCAAAUAUAUGAAUCCGCUUUCAUAUCAAAUUAUGAUCUUUGUUAGUCUCUUACACCCACACAAUCCUCUAACCUUUGUAGCUACCACUAACUUUCUCUCGUGCAUGCACAUGCCCUCCUCGCCCUCCCCCUCCCCCGGCAUUCUAUCCAUCUGGCACAUUCAUUUUUCUCUUUAGGUCGUUCUCCCAGAGUCUCCAGAACUCCUUUCUGACACACACCGAUCGAUAAACCUCUCCAGCGGUGCCUGCCUACAACAUACAAACACACCUUCAAUCUCCUCCUUUAUGUGUCCUUGCCUCGUGUCUCUCAUACGGUAAGACACACGUGUAAACUCUCGCCCCUCUUUUCAUCGCUCUCACAACUGCACACUCCUCGCCCAACCUAGCUAGUAGUUGGGCCUCUCGCACCACCUCCUAGCUCCAUUCUCUCUGUCUAUCCGUCUCGCUGGGCCUUAUUUGCCUCUAACAAAUGGACGUACACCGACCGAUCUCUCGCUAUACAUAUAGCUAGCUAGGUCCUUAUAACUCGUUUUUACCCACACGUCAAUCGAUCUACCUCAUUAGUUGUGUCUCUCCCUUCCUUCGACAAACAACAAUUGAUCUACCGAUCUAGUUAGGUUUGCUUACCAAACACAUGGUUCCCCUUCAUCAUCCAUGGAUGCGUCCCGAUAGAUCUAUCACGCACAGGCACACAAAGAAACACAUCCCCACUCUUAUUGAUAACAUUGCAGUUCCACCCUCAGUUUGUCUAGUAGGCCUCUCCCACCAUCUUCGAGAAGCAACUCCAUCACCCAUCCAGCACUCUACCCCUCUCCCUCCCUCUCCCUCCCUCUCUCCCUCCUCUCUCUCUGUCCCAUCAUAUUUCCCGUCCUUCAGUUAUGUAUGGAUGUCGACCAAUCUCCCUCAAGACAUAGCUGGGUCUGUCCUUCUCAACACAUAUACGAGUCGUUCUACCUCUAUAGUUAGGCCUCUGCCUACCCCUCCCACCACCCCCCUCCCCCCCCACACACCGAUACAUCGAGCGCUCUAGUCAUGUCUCCCUGCCACACACAAACUUGACGUGUGCCCUCUAACGUUCCGGUAGGCUAGUCGCCCUAUAUCUUUGACUUGUACACACAAACAAUUUCGAUGGCUCUCCUCAUCGAUCUCGCACCCACCCACUUGAUCCUCUCUUUGACUCUAUCGAUAGCUAUGACCCCUCCCUCUCUUCUCGUGGAUUGCCCGGACCUCUAUGUAUGAUAUGGAUAGGCCUCCAUUUCACACACAUUGCAUGCAAAAUUUUGUUUGAGAUGUCAUCGACACAUAUUCCCAUAAAUAAUUCACGAAAUCAACCCCCACCCCACCCCCACCCCAAAACAAAAACACUCACGAACACGGUUUGUAUCUCUCACACACACCCCACAUAGGUGGGGGACGUGCACGAAGAGAAGAGGUGCAUGCACGGCGCACGUACUCCCGUCUCUUUCCCAACCACACCCGCACGGGUACACGGUGGAGCUCAUUUUUGUACAAAAAAGGCAGCCCACGUUGUAAUUUGGCACGUGUACUGGUUGUCCACUUGGUGGAGGGAGGAUCGUCUACCACGGGUGAACAAACAAAUUGUGACUUGACGUGUUAUGUUAAAAAAAGGGGCAAACCAUGUGGGGCCUACCUUAGAGGCAAGGCUCUAUACACUGGAGUACUUUUGAUGUGUCCCAUCAACUCUCAGAAUGAGGAGAAGCUUGCUUAGUAUGCCGUCUCCCCCGCCCACGGGCGCGGUGGCUCGCAGGAUGAGGUGAAGCUUGCUUACUACGCCUUACACCCGCUCCCUCGCCCAUGCGCGCGGUGGCUCACAGGACGAGGAGAAAAAUUUACUACUCCCUCCAUUUACUCCUCGUCCCUACUACCUUGGUUAUAGAUAUUAUACUAUCAUAUUGUUUGGAAUAUAUAUGUCCUUUAGUAGACUUCAAUAUGAACUACUAGUACAUACUCCAAACACUGAUGUAUAUAGACGUAUUUUAGAGUGUAGAUUCACUCAUUUUGCUUCGUAUGUAGCACUCUCCCUCGCCCCUCGACCCUCGCCCACGUGGUGGACGUGCAGCAAUUCAUUCGGUCUCAUAUAGCCAGAACGAUAUAUACUGCACUACCAUUAUUGCUCGACUUCCCGAAGAGGCGAAGAACCAAUCGCAAGGUUAAUAUCUUGGAGAUGCCAAGCGCAAGGUUAUAGGAGAACGAGUAGUAGGUGCCGCGUCAUUUAUAAAUAAAGUUUGUUUUCUUCAGCGGCACGUACGCAAUAUGAUAGGUUCAUAUGGAGAGAAAAGGAAACCGCUCCACUAUAUACAUAGUCAGGACGGGCCAGCCUACACGAUUGCUUGCUGGGGUUGCUCUUUUCACACUCUCUCACACAAAACGACUGUGGCCACAUCUCUAACAUCCCGGCGGAUCACGUCCGCUUGGGGAAGGGGUGGAUGCUUAGUGUAGAUGCGGUGGCCGUCGUCGACGGCGAAAAACCACUGUCGGCACGUCCCAAUCAGGGGUCCCCGCCGUUCUCUCUCACAAAGCCGGUGAGGUUGCCUUCGUCCCUUGCUCACUUCUGCGACGUGGGCAGUUGCCGCCUCCCGCCGCCCUCCUCAAGGUUGAGCUACGUCCCUCGGGUACAACUCCCUUUAUAGUCGUCUUGCACCACUGCUCCAGCUGCCCACAUCACUCCUUGUGGAUAUUUCUCUACUUCUUUGCCCCGCACAUACCUCUACUGGCUUCUAUGUACUGUAUUUGUGAUGAGUUUAUGUCUCAUCAACUAGUCCCAGUAAUCUUAUUCUAAUCAUGCUUGUUCAAUUUCUUUGCCACAGGGAUGCUCAUCUCGAUUUUGGUGAAACUGCACAAAAUGAUCCGAUGGCCAAAAGGUUGCAAACUUCAUUUCUUAGGAAGCUCGAACAUUGCCAGCAAAUGAAGCCUGGUCAGGGUUCACGGUUCAAGGGCUAGGGACUGCAUGGAUCGUUUUUUCUUUAGCUGCCUCUGUUCCAAAAUAAGUGUCAACUUUAGUAGUAGUACAACUUUGUACCAAAGUUUGCACAAAGUUGAGAAACUUAUUUUGGAAUGGAGGGAGUACAUAUUUGCUAUGAUCUGUCAAUCAUUGAGAUGCAAUAGCAUGCACGUUAGUCUCCUUUGUAUUUGAUGAAAUGUUGCAACGGGCAACCUUGGACGCAAGAUACAUGUAACAGAAGCUGGAAGCUUCAUAGCAUUGUACAAAUUUGUCUCGCUGAUAAAUUAUAGUACUUACUAUACUAGUACUUCCUCCAUUCCUAAAUAUAAGUCUUUGUAGAGAUUUCACCAUGAACCACAUGCGGAUCACUGAGCCUGCGUGUUUUCACUGCUCUUGCACGCCUCCGCUGUAAGAAUGGAGAAAAUUGUAAUCUAUUAGGUAUACCUCCUUUCGCCGAAAGCGUGGGACAUCCAGCAGUCCUACGACCUCAGUAAUAAAGACCAAUGAGCCGUCAAAUCACAUAGACCCAACAGUAAGUUGGAUGGACGAAGCAACCACCACUCUUGCGCCAGUGAGAGGUCGCGUCCGCUCUGCCCGGGCAUGAAUGCGGCACCGAUUCUUUGGAGCGGCACUGACCGUUUCGAACGGGAAGCGCGCGCGGGCGUUGGAGGGGCUUUGGGUGGGCCAGGCUGGUCAGGAGCGGCCGUGGCAGCUGUCCGCAUGUCCCUACCGGACACGCCUGGAAAUGAGAGGAUGCACCGACUCUCGCGGAUAAAAUCGUACACUACACAACAUCUCUCUGUAGGAGUAGGUCGAUCUGUCGCUCUCUCUAACAUACACAUGGUGCUAAACACACACACACACACGCACACACACACGCACACGCAUGCACCUUGGUCCCGUUGCACCUUCUAACGUGACUUAUUACACCUAGACGGAGGGAGUAGUAAGUAUACGAGAUACGGUGGCACACUGACUUAAGUCGAAUACAAGUGCCCAAAAUUUGUGUGCAUGUUAUAAUAAGGAUUCAGGAAUGUAUAAAAGGUUAUUUCCCUCUCGUUGAACAUAACGGGAGGGUUGUGUAGCUGGUUAGCCUGUUCGCUCAUCAAACUUGAGGUCUCGGGUUCAAUAACUACACUUGAGCAUAAUUUGUGCCAGGAGGAUUCUUUGACUGGUCAAAAUGUUUUCUAGGGUUUGCACGCUUCACACUCUCUCUCCAGUAUAUAUAUACACGUUGGAGCCUCAGCACUUGUAGUUGCUCUCUUCACACUCUCUCGCCCUCUCCCGCUGGAGCCUCAUCGCUUGUAGUUGCUCUCUUCACACUCUCUCGCCCUCUCCAGAUCUAAACAAGACUUUGUUGGCCUCUCUCUCCCCUCACUGCUGCUCAAAGAGCCGGCAGGAUCCGUCCGCCGGGAAGGGAAGGAGGCUUAACGCUGUAGCCGUCGGCGAGGGACUACCGGCGCAGCUGUUCACUUUCCACCCAGCGGCAGCGCGGGAGGGCCUUCGACCCCUUCUUCUUUGCCGUCGUCCCGUCGCCCGCCGAACCAUGCCCCAAGAACCUUAAGGUAUAAUUUACUUACUCCACAUGCAUUGCUCUAGCUGCAUGUAUACCAUGAAUCUAGGACGUGGUUCAAAGAGGAAAGGAGUGGGAAAAGUUGUAUAUAGCAUGAAUCUCGGACGUGGUUCAAAGAGCAAAUGAAGGGGGAAAGUUGUAUAGCAUUAAUCUAGGACGUGGUUCAAAGAGGAAAGGGAUGGGGGAAAGUAGUGGGGAAAGUUGUAUCGCAUAAAUCUAGGACGUGGUUCAAAAAGGAAAGGAAGGGGUGAAAGUACUAGUUCAAAAGGAAAGGAAGGGACAAGGCUGUAGAGUUUAAGCAGGACUAGAUUUGCUGCGCUCACAUAGGGAAAGGCGUCUGAUAACAAAACUGGGACCAACACGGACUGACACGGAGUUUUUUUAGUCCCUACACCAAAAUGUCCCUGUAAACAAACACCCUCUAAUAAUGCCGCUGCAAAAUUGAUGCAAUGCCACAGUUAAAAGCAAAUUACAUGUUUAAUGAAUUUUAUUGUUAAUAUAAUCUCUAUGUUAAUAUUAAUCAAUGCCACUGUUUGAGAAAUGCUACUGUCUUGCUUUCUUUCCCAUUUAGAUAAGGUAGAUGCUUCUUUUUGUUGGCUUCUAUGUCAUCCACCGUUAUUGACCACUAAUUGUUUCCUUUGCACCUCUGUGUAAACAGGGUUAUAUGCUUCACCUCGUUGCCAUUGUGACCUUUUGUUGCACUGCACAAAACACUUUUGUUUUAAGAGUGUUUUGUGCAGUUCAACCAAAAUGUCACACCGACAAUGUUGCUUGAUUGCUUGAUCUUAGUGGAACUGCACAAGAGGAGAUCUUACUUCCUAUCCGUUAAGGCGAAUUUGGUUCAGAUCUUCUUCUUGUGAGUUGUUUGAAUUCCGCAUCAUGAGAGGUCAGUACUAGCCUUCUUUCACAUGAUUCUGCAGUGUGCAUUCAUAUGUUGUGCUACUUGUACGAUAAUGUUGCUUGAUUUUAGUGAACUGCACAAAUGGAGACAAGACUUCCAAUCUGUAUGUGCACCGUAAUAUCCCAUUGAGGUAAGAUAAGGAUAUUUCACAACUGCUGGCCUGUAUUUUGCCACUUUCAUCAGAAAAUUAAGUUUAGUACUAUACUUGUGCUCCCUAAUUGACAUGCCAAAUCUUACAUUGAAGGCGAAGCUUGUUUGUUAUUGAACCAAGUGAUGAAGGGGAAGAACAAGGGGAAGAAAAACAAAAAUCAACUCCCGGUGCUGUAAUGAAGCACUGGAACUGUGAUGGCACAAGUAAUGGUAUAGUUUUGCAUCUUAAUUUAUUGCUAUGGCUGGAACGAGCAAUUGUUUUGCCACUGAUUUGAUGCCACUCUUAAUGUAAUAUGUAAUAUCUCUACUUGUGCAAACAUGGAUCUUCUUUGAAGAUACCAUAUAUUUUAGUGGAACUGCAUAAGAAGAUGUUGGGAACAUUAAACUAAUCGAGGAGUAUAUAGUAAGCUUGGCCACCACCGUAGAUAGCAACAGAUGGUUCCGGAGAAAUGCUUCAUCUGUAUGCUCUACACAAUAAGCCUGCUGCCAAAGGUUGGUACUCGCCCACUGAUUUCAUCCAUAUGAUUGAGCUUUGUCAUCUCUAUUGGUGUUGUGCUACUGUUUAGAUACUGUCAUGAAAAAGUGGUAUUGUCCUUGAGAAGUGCUUCAUCUGUGCUGUUUUAAAUAUUUCCUUUCCUUUUUUGAGCAAACUGCUAGCAUUUAGUAGUCCUCUUGUUGUUGCACAACAGAAUCAUCUUCCUCUGAAGAAGAAUAUGGAGUACGUGAAGUGACUAGUUCCGAUUAUGCCAGGAUGAAGAAGCCCUGUCUAUCUUAUCAUCAGAAGGAGCAGUUGAAGGAUGGUUACAUUACUCCCCACAAGACCAAACUAACUUCAGCUUAGAAGGACUAAAAAAAUCUCCAUUUUUUUGCUGUUGUUCUAGGAUUCUUUCUGGUGAGUUCCAUUUUUCUAAAAGUGUGCUCUACAUGGACCAUGUAUGUGCCUGUUGAAACUGUCAAUUCAUAGUACAGUUUGCUCUAUACUAAUCACUUUUUUGUAUUUGUGCAAACAGGGGUGCUCAGCUUGAUUUCAAUGGGAACUACACAAUAUGUUCAUGAAUACAUCGGAUCAUUCAUUUCCACCACAAGAAAGGAGGUGCCGAUAAGUUCAAAGCGUUGCAACAUAUAAGGGCGAAAUCAUACAAGCUACGCACGAAUUUGGUUGAUUUUGGUGGAACUGCACAAAAAGAACAGCUGGUUUAUUUAGCACGAGGUGCCAUGUCAAUGUCCGAAUUGAUGGCAAACCCUGCCCAUUCCACAAUCGCAGGCAUUUGAUAUUUUGGAAUGGGACAACCUUGUCAAAUUUUUCUCAUUGAUUUUAGCAAGACAUGCGUUUGAUAUUUUCGAAUGGGACGCCCUUUGCUGUCAGCAGCGUCGAUCAAUUUUUUCUUUAUUCUUUAGUUGUGAAGUAAAUAUUGCCUCUGACAUGUGAGUCGCUGAGAUGCAUAAUCAUCGAUUGUUUUGAAUGUUCUCUAUGGAUUGCCAGGCCUGUGUGUUUGAUUGCAAUGUACAGAAACGCUAAAAAGCUGCUCAAACUCUUUGUACUCCUUUUGUUCCUUUUUACUUCGCACAUUGUGUAAGUGCAUACUUUUUUGUAUAAGAUUGGUCAAAGUAGAGAUACUUUGACUGCAGACAAAACUUGUAUGCAGACUAGAAAGGACCGGAGGGAGUACAUGUGAAACUGCUGCAAACGAGGUGAUCACCCUGGGAAUAAUGCUAGUACGUAUUGUUUUUGUAUGUUCAUCCAAUGCCAGUGAUACAGGAAUUCGAACUAAUCGAAAUAAAUUCAUUCAUACACGGUCGGAUUUCAUAUAAACAUGCCGGAUUUCAUUACAUUUCAACUAAAAAGGGGUGCGCUGGAGGUAUAAUUAAUUAACCGGCCUAGCUUGUCAUAGCGAUUAGGGCAACUAGGAGCCCAAUGAUUAGGAUCACCACAUGACAAACACCUUUCUUCUUGAAGUUCAUGUGUUGCACAGCCUUGUUCUUCCCAUCAAACUUUGCUUUACCAUCAAACUUGCCCUUGUUCUUGAACUUGUGGGGCUGGAAGUUCUUCUGUACCAUAUUGGCACUAGAUCCUCCCUCAAUUCCUCAAGCAUGUGUGUCAUUUGCUCUCGCCUUUUCUUCCACAUCAAGAGUGCCAAUGAGAUCCACGAAGGAGGAAGCUUGGUGAUGAAGGAGGUGUAAUUAAUUAACCGAAGCUACCCACCUGUGUCCCGCUGAGCCGAACAGAAGCUUCAGUGACUAAACUGCAGGUGCAGUUGCGUAACUGACAUGUGGCCUGUUGGGCCCACGUGUCAGUCAGCCAACUGCACCAACAGUUAAGUAGAAGCAGCGUUGUUCUCCAGCAGAACUCCCCGACACCACGUCACUGCCAAGAAGCUAACCGGCCGUCAAUGGUCAACCCGCCUAGCUUGGCUUCAACAGGAGGGUAGCAGCGGUGGCCUUGCUUGGACCCGAGCGGCAGUGACCGUACGAUGUCCAUCUAACGGCCGUAGUGCUUCUUCAACCUAUGGUCUUCUUGCUCCAGCCGCCCAAAGCAGCGCCGAUCGUGCCGCCUGUUCCUGCCUCCGGUGGCCGGCUGUGCUGCCGCGGAGGCCUCACCGCCCCCUACUAUUCCCACCGCUGGCCAGGCCCUGCGGAGACGGCAGCCUCACACCGCAGCCGAACGAGUGAACCCUCAUACUCCUCUCCGCGUGGGCAUCCACUGCCGCGUCUUCACCGGCUCCGCGUCGUCCCCUUCCUAGGCCUCGCUGUCGUCCACCGCCCUGGUGCUCUCGGCGCGGUGUGGUCAACGUGGUCAAGGAACACUUCCAUCGGACGUGGACUGUACGUCGAGAGGCUGACAGCUGGGUCCACGGCGGCAGAAAGGAAGUGCCUCCUUAUUACGCGGAAAAUAAUGAUUCCUCCACCUGACAGCAGGGACCCACCGGACGGGCCAUCGUAUUUCACGAAAAAAUUGUUUCCCCCUAACUGCUGGGACCCACCAGCUACACCUUCGCAUGCAAGGAAGUGCGUCUGGGCAAAAAAAACGAUUCGCCCCCCUAACUGCUGGGACCCACCAGCUACAUCUUNNNNNNNNNNNNNNNNNNNNNNNNNNNNNNNNNNNNNNNNNNNNNNNNNNNNNNNNNNNNNNNNNNNNNNNNNNNNNNNNNNNNNNNNNNNNNNNNNNNNNNNNNNNNNNNNNNNNNNNNNNNNNNNNNNNNNNNNNNNNNNNNNNNNNNNNNNNNNNNNNNNNNNNNNNNNNNNNNNNNNNNNNNNNNNNNNNNNNNNNNNNNNNNNNNNNNNNNNNNNNNNNNNNNNNNNNNNNNNNNNNNNNNNNNNNNNNNNNNNNNNNNNNNNNNNNUCCGGGCAAAAAAAAACCAAAAUGAUUCGCCCCCCUGACUGCUAGGACCCACCGGCCCCUCGACUGUUGGGACCCACCAGCUACAUCUUCGCACGCAAGGAAGUGCGUCCGGGCAAAAAGAAAAAUGAUUCGCCCCCUGACUGCUGGGACCCACCAGCUACAUCUUCGCAGGCAAGGAAGUGUCUGACAGUCGGGACCCACCUGAUCGAAGCGUACGUAGCGUUUUCAUUCUGGUCGCGCACGCGUAUGUACAUAUAUACUGGUCGAUGUAGAGGCGCGCACAUGUCAUAGUAGAGGCACGCACAUGUCAUAGUAGAGGCGCGCACGUAGCAUGUACACGUACGUACAGCGGCCAGGGUGCAAGAAAGAAAAUACGGCCACGUGUGUGUACAUAUGGGCGGGGUCUCGAACGCCUACUCGCGCAUAUGUACGGCGAGGGCUCGUUAACAUGGCUGGGUCGGAACGGAGAAACAACGUCAUCGUCGUGUUCAUGGGGAGGCAACGGAAUGCGUCGUGUUCAUCGGGAGGCAACGCGGCUGGGUUGGAACGGAAUGCAUGGUCGUGUUCAUCGGGAGGGCUUGGCCGGAAGAGGCGAUGGAAACAAGGCCUGGCGUACUGCACAACGAAGGAAACGGACCUCCUACGGUCGAAACAGGGGUCCUGUUAAUUGGGAGGGGUGUGGCGUACCACAAAACGGAGGAAACGGACCUCCUACGGUCGAAACGGGGGUCCUGUUGAUCAGGAGGGGUGUGGCGUACCGCAAAACGGAGGAAACGAACUUGUGUUGGAGCGCUACGGUCAAAACGGGGGUCCUGUUCAUCGGGAGGGGUGUGGCGUACCGCAAAACGGGACUCCACAGGAUACUGUUCAUCUCCACCGCCGACCCCCUCCAGCCUCCACGAGCUACUAUUCAUCCACCGUCGACCUCCUCCAGCCUCCACCUGCGACUGUUCAUUCACGGGCUCCUGUUCAUCCAGCCUCCACCGCGCGCUACUCCACCGGCUACUGUUCAACCACCCCUCUGUUGGAAAUAUGCCCUAGAGGCAAUAAUAAAAUGGUUAUUAUUAUAUUUCUUUGUUCAUGAUAAUUUUCUAUUAUUCAUGCUAUAAUUGUGUUAUCCGGAAAUCGUAAUACAUGUGUGAAUACAUAGACCACAACAUGUCCCAAGUGAGCCUCUAGUUGACUAGCUCGUUGAUCAACAGAUAGUCGUGGUUUCCUGACUAUGGACAUUGGAUGUCAUUGAUAACGGGAUCACAUCAUUAGGAGAAUGAUGCGAUGGACAAGACCCAAACCUAAGCAUAGCACAAUGAUCGUGUAGUUCGUUUGCUAGAGCUUUUCCAAUGUCAAGUAUCAUUUCCUUAGACCAUGAGAUUGUGCAACUCCCGGAUACCGUAGGAGUGCUUUGGGUGUGCCAAACGUCACAACGUAACUGGGUGACUAUAAAGGUGCACUAUGGGUAUCUCCGAAAGUGUCUGUUGGGUUGGCACGAAUCGAGACUGGAUUUGUCACUCCGUAUGACGGAGAGGUAUCUCUGGGCCCACUCGGUAAUGCAUCAUCAUAAUGAGCUCAAUGUGACCAAGGGGUUGGUCACGUGAUCAUGCAUUACGGUACGAGUAAAGUGACUUGCCGGUAACGAGAUUGAACAAGGUAUUGGGAUACCGACGAUCGAGUCUCGGGCAAGUAACGUACCGAUUGACAAAGGGAAUUGUAUACGGGAUUGAUUGAAUCCUCGACAUCGUGGUUCAUCUGAUGAGAUCAUCGUGGAGCAUGUGGGAGCCAACAUGGGUAUCCAGAUCCCGCUGUUGGUUAUUGACCGGAGAGGCGUCUCAGUCAUGUCUGUGUGUCUCCCGAACCCGUAGGGUCUACAGACUUAAGGUUCGGUGACGCUAGGGUUGUAGAGAUAUUAGUAUGCAGUAACCCGAAAGUUGUUCGGAGUCCCAGAUGAGAUCCCGGAUGUCACGAGGAGUUCCGGAAUGGUCCGGAGGUAAAGAUUUAUAUAUAGGAAGUCCACUUUCGGCCAUAGGGAAUGUUUUGGGGGUCACCGGUAUUGUACCGGGACCACCGGAAGGGUCCCGGGGGUCCACCGGGUGGGGCCACCUAUCCCGGAGGGCCCCAUGGGCUGAAGUGGGAGGGGAACCAGCCCCAGGUGGGCUGGUGCGCCCCCCUUGGGCCUCCCCUGCGCCUAGGGUUUGGGAACCCUAGGGGUGGGGGCGCCCCACUUGGCUUGGGGGGCAAGCCACCCCCUUGGCCGCCGCCCCCCCCUCUAGAUGGGAUCUAGAGGGGCCGCCCCCCCAGGGCCCCUAUAUAAAGAGGGGGGAGGGAGGGCUGCACACCCUAGCCCCUGGCGCCUCCCUCUCCCUCCCGUAACACCUCUCCCUCUCGUUGGUGCUUGGUGAAGCCCUGCCGAGACCCUGCUGCAUCCACCACCACGCCGUUGUGCUACUGGAUCUCCAUCAACCUCUCCUUCCUCCUUGCUGGAUCAAGAAGGAGGAGACGUCUUCCCCAACCGUACGUGUGUUGAACGCGGAGGUGCCGUCCGUUCGGCGCUAGGAUCAUCGGUGAUUUGGAUCACGACGACUACGACAUCAUCAACCCCGUUAACUUGAACGCUUCCGCUCGCGAUCUACAAGGGUAUGUAGAUGCACUCCUAUUCCCCUCGUUGCUAGAAUACUCCAUAGAUUGAUCUUGGUGAUGCAUAGAAAAUUUUAAAUUCUGCUACGAUCCCCAACAGUGGCAUCAUGAGCUAGGUCUAUGCAUAGUUUCUACGCACGAGUAGAACACAAAGCAGUUGUGGGCGUCGAUAUUGUCAAUUAUCUUGCCGUUACUAGUCUUAUCUUGAUUUGACGGCAUUGUGGGAUGAAGCGGCCCGGACCGACCUUACACGUACGCUUACGUGAGACUGGUUCCACCGACUGACAUGAACUAGUUGCAUAAGGUGGCUGGCGGGUGUCUGUCUCUCCCACUUUAGUCGGAUCGGAUUCGAUGAACAGGGUCCUUAUGAAGGGUAAAUAGAAAUUGGCAAUUCACGUUGUGGUUUUGGCGUAGGUAAGAAACGUUCUUGCUAGAAACCUAUAGCAGCCACGUAAAAACUUGCAACAACAAUUAGAGGACGUCUAACUUGUUUUUGCAGCAAGUGUUUUCUGAUGUGAUAUGGCCAAAGGAUGUGAUGAAUGAUAUAUGUGAUGUAUGAGAUGAUCAUGUUCUUGUAAUAGGAAUCACGACUUGCAUGUCGAUGAGUAUGACAACCGGCAGGAGCCAUAGGAGUUGUCUUAAUUUAUUUAUGACCUGCGUGUCAACAUAUAACGUCAUGUAAUUACUUUACUUUAUUGCUAAACCGUUAGCCAUAGUAGUAGAAGUAAUAGUUAACGUGACAACUUCAUGAAGACACGAUGAUGGAGAUCAUGAUGAUGGAGAUCAUGGUGUCGUGCCGGUGAUGACGAUGAUCAUGGCGCCCCGAAGAUGGAGAUCAAAAGGAGCAAAAUGAUAUUGGCCAUAUCAUGUCACUAUUUGAUUGCAUGUGAUGUUUAUCAUGUUUUACAUCUUAUUUUCUUAGAACGACGGUAGCUUAAAUAAGAUGAUCCGUCGAAUUAAUUUCAAGAAAGUGUUCCCCCUAACUGUGCACCGUUGCGAAGGUUCGUUGUUUCGAAGCACCACGUGAUGAUCAGUCGCUUCCACCGAGCUACAAGAGCUUUGUGAUGAACUUCAAUAUGCAGGGGAUGGAAAAGACCAUUCCUGAGGUAUAUUCAAUGCUGAAAUCAGCGGAGGUGGAGAUCAAAAAGGAACAUCAAGUGUUGAUGGUGAAUAAAACCACUAAGUUCAAGAAAGGCAAGGGUAAGAAGAACUUCAAGAAGGACGGGAAGGGAGUUGCCGCGCCCGGUAAGCCAGUUGCCGGGAGGAAGCCAAAGAAUGGACCCAAGCCUGAGACCGAGUGCUUUUAUUGCAAGGGAAGUGGCCACUGGAAGCGGAACUGCCCCAAGUACUUAGCGGACAAGAAGGUCGGCAACACUAAAGGUAUAUGUGAUAUACAUGUAAUUGAUGUUUACCUUACCAGUACUCGUAGUAGCUCCUGGGUAUUUGAUACCGGUGCGGUUUCUCAUAUUUGUAGCUCUAAGCAGGAGCUGCGGAAUAAGCGGAGACUGGUGAAGGACGAGGUGACGAUGCGCGUCAGGAAUGGUUCCAAGGUCGAUGUGAUCGCCGUCGGCACGCUGCCUCUACAUUUACCUACGGGAUUAGUUUUAAACCUCAAUAAUUGUUAUUUAGUUCCAACUUUGAGCAUGAACAUUGUAUGAGGAUCUUGUUUAAUUUGAGAUGGCUACUCAUUUAAAUCCGAGAAUAAUGGUUGUUCUAUUUAUAUGAGAGAUAUUUUUUAUGGUCAUGCCCCGCUGGUGAAUGGUUUAUUCUUAAUGAAUCUCGAGUGUAAUGUUACACAUAUUCAUAGUGUGAAUACCAAAAGAUGUAAGGUUGAUAAUGAUAGUCCCACAUACUUGUGGCACUGCCGCCUUGGUCACAUAGGUGUCAAACGCAUGAAGAAGCUCCAUGCAGAUGGACUUUUAGAGUCUCUUGAUUACGAAUCAUUUGACACGUGCGAACCAUGCCUCAUGGGUAAAAUGACCAAGACUCCGUUCUCCGGAACAAUGGAGCGAGCAACCAACUUAUUAGAAAUCAUACAUACUGAUGUGUGCGGUCCAAUGAGUGUUGAGGCUUGCGGUGGCUAUCGCUAUGUUCUCACUCUCACUGAUGACUUGAGUAGAUAUGGUAUGUCUACUUAAUGAAACACAAGUCUGAGACCUUUGAAAAGUUCAAGGAAUUUCAGAGUGAGGUUGAGAAUCAACGUGACAGAAAAAUAAAGUUCUUACGAUCAAAUCAUGGGGGAGAAUAUUUAAGUCACGAAUUUGGUACGCACCUAAGGAAAUGUGGAAUCGUUUCACAACUCACGCCGCCUGGAACACCUCAGUGAAAUGGUGUGUCCGAACGUCGUAAUCGCACUCUAUUGGAUAUGGCGCGAUCUAUGAUGUCUCUUACCGAUCUACCACUCUCAUUUUGGGCCUAUGCUUUAGAGACUGCCGCAUUCACUUUAAAUAGGGCUCCGUCGAAAUCCGUUGAGAGGACACCAUAUGAAUUAUGGUUUGGGAAGAAACCUAAGCUGUUGUUUCUAAAAGUUUGGGGAUGCGAUGCUUAUGUCAAGAAACUUCAACCUGAAAAGCUCGAAUCCAAGUCGGAAAAAUGCAUCUUCAUAGGAUACCCUAAGGAAACCAUUGGGUAUACCUUCUACCUCAGAUCCGAAGGCAAGAUCUUUGUUGCCAAGAAUGGAUGCUUUCUAGAGAAAGAGUUUCUCUCGAAAGAAGUAAGUGGGAGAAAAGUAGAGCUUGAUGAAGAACUGCCUCUUGAAGCGGAGAGUAGCGCAGCUCAGGAAAAUGUUCCUGUGGUGCCUGCACCGAUUAGAGAGGAGGUUAAUGAUGAUGAUCAAGACACUUCGGAUCAAGCUCCUACUGAACUUCGUAGGUCCACAAGGACACGUUCCGCACCAGAGUGGUACGGCAACCCUGUCCUGGAAAUCAUGUUGUUAGACAAUGAUGAACCUUCGAACUAUGAAGAAGCGAUGGCGGGCCCAGAUUCCAACAAAUGGCUAGAAGCCAUGAAAUCCGAGAUAGAAUCCAUGUAUGAAAACGAAGUAUGGACUUUGACUGACUUGCCCGAUGAUCGGCGAGCCAUAGAAAAUAAAUGUAUCUUUAAAAAGAAGACAUACGCGGAUGGUAAUGUGACCAUCUAUAAGGCUUGACUUGUCACUAAGGGUUAUCGACAAGUUCAAGGGGUUGACUACGAUGAGACUUUCUCACCCGUAGCUAAGCUGAAGUCCGUCCAAAUCAUGCUAGCAAUUGCCGCAUUCUAUGAUUAUGAGAUAUGGCAAAUGGACGUCAAAACAGCAUUCCUUAACAACUUUCUUAAGGAAGAAUUGUAUAUGAUGCAGCCGGAAGGUUUUGUCGAUCCUAAGAAUGCUAACAAGGUGUGCAAGCUCCAACGCUCAAUCUAUGGGCUGGUGCAAGCAUAUCGGAGUUGGAACAUUCGCUUUGAUGAGAUGAUCAAAGUGUUUGGGUUUAUGCAGACUUAUGGAGAAGCCUGCAUUUACAAGAAAGUGAGUGGGAGCUCUGUAGCAUUUCUCAUAUUAUAUGUGGAUGACAUACUGUUGAUGGGAAAUGAUAUAGAAUUCUUGGGAAGCAUAAAGGCCUACUUGAACAAGUGUUUUUCAAUGAAGGACCUUGGAGAAGCUGCUUAUAUAUUAGGCAUUAAGAUCUAUAGAGAUAGAUCGAGACGCCUCAUCGGUCUUUCACAAAGUAUGUACCUUGACAAGAUAUUGAAGAAGUUCAAUAUGGAUCAGUCCAAGAAGGGGUUCUUGCCUGUAUUGCAAGGUGAGCGAUUGAGCACGGCUCAAUGCCCGACCACGGCAGAAGAUAUAGAAGAGAUGAGUGUCAUCCCCUAUGCCUCAGCCACAGGGUCUAUUAUGUAUGCCAUGCUGUGUACCAGACCUGAUGUAAACCUUGCCGUAAGUUUGGUAGGUAGGUACCAAAGUAAUCCCGGCAAGGAACACUGGACAACGGUCAAAAACAUCCUGAAGUACCUGAAAAGGACCAAGGAUAUGUUUCUCGUUUAUGGAGGUGACGAAGAGCUCGUCGUAAAGGGUUACGUCGGCACUAGCUUCGACACAGAUCUGGAUGACUCUAAGUCACAAACCGGAUACGUGUAUAUUUUGAAUGGUGGGGCAGUAAGCUGGUGCAGUUGCAAGCAAAGCGUCGUGGCAGGAUCUACAUGUGAAGCAGAGUACAUGGCAGCCUCGGAGGUAGCACAAGAAGCAGUCUGGGUGAAGGAGUUCAUUACCGACCUAGGAGACAUACCCAAUGCGUCGGACCCGAUGACUCUCUUCUGUGAUAACACUGGAGCUAUUGCCCUUGCCAAGGAGCCCAGGCUUCACAGGAAGACUAGGCAUAUCAAGCGUCGCUUCAACUCCAUUCGUGAAAGUGUUCAAAAUGGAGACAUAGAGAUUUGUAAAGUACAUACGAACCUGAAUGUAGCAGAUCCGUUGACUAAACCUCUCCCUAGAGCAAAACAUGAUCAACACCAGAAUUCCAUGGGCGUUCGAUUCAUCACAAUGUAACUAGAUUAGUGACUCUAGUGCAAGUGGGAGACUGUUUGAAAUAUGCCCUAGAGGCAAUAAUAAAAUGGUUAUUAUUAUAUUUCUUUGUUCAUGAUAAUUGUCUAUUAUUCAUGCUAUAAUUGUGUUAUCCGGAAAUCGUAAUACAUGUGUGAAUACAUAGACCACAAUGUGUCCCUAGUGAGCCUCUAGUUGACUAGCUCGUUGAUCAACAGAUAGUCGUGGUUUCCUGACUAUGGACAUUGGAUGUCAUUGAUAACGGGAUCACAUCAUUAGGAGAAUGAUGUGAUGGACAAGACCCAAACCUAAGCAUAGCACAAAGAUCAUGUAGUUCGUUUGCUAGAGCUUUUCCAAUGUCAAGUAUCAUUUCCUUAGACCAUGAGAUUGUGCAACUCCCGGAUACCGUAGGAGUGCUUUGGGUGUGCCAAACGUCACAACGUAACUGGGUGACUAUAAAGGUGCACUAUGGGUAUCUCCAAAAGUGUCUGUUGGGUUGGCAUGAAUCGAGACUGGGAUUUGUCACUCCGUAUGACGGAGAGGUAUCUCUGGGCCCACUCGGUAAUGCAUCAUCAUAAUGAGCUCAAUGUGACCAAGGGGUUGGUCAUGGGAUCAUGCAUUACGGUACGAGUAAAGUGACUUGCCGGUAAUGAGAUUGAACAAGGUAUUGGGAUACCGACGAUCGAGUCUCGGGCAAGUAACGUACCGAUUGACAAAGGGAAUUGUAUACGGGAUUGAUUGAAUCCUCGACAUCGUGGUUCAUCCGAUGAGAUCAUCGUGGAGCAUGUGGGAGCCAACAUGGGUAUCCAGAUCCCGCUGGUUAUUGACCGGAGAGGCAUCUCGGUCAUGUCUGCGUGUCUCCCGAACCCGUAGGGUCUACACACUUAAGGUUCGGUGACGCUAGGGUUGUAGAGAUAUUAGUAUGCAGUAACCCGAAAGUUGUUCAGAGUCCCGGAUGAGAUCCGGGACGUCACGAGGAGUUCCAGAAUGGUCCAGAGGUAAAGAUUUAUAUAUAGGAAGUCCAGUUUCGGCCAUCGGGAAUGUUUCGGGGGUCACCGGUAUUGUACCGGGACCACCGGAAGGGUCCCGGGGGUCCACCGGGUGGGGACACCUAUCCCGGAGGGCCCCAUGGGCUGAAGUGGGAGGGGAACCAGCCCCAGGUGGGCUGGUGCACCCCCUUGGGCCUCCCCUGCGCCUAGGGUUUGGGAACCCUAGGGGUGGGGGCGCCCCACUUGGCUUGGGGGGCAAGCCACCCGCCUUGGCCGCCGCCCCCCCUCUAGAUGGGAUAUAGAGGGGCCGACGCCCCCCAAGGGCCCCUAUAUAAAGAGGGGGAGGGAGGGCUGCGCACCCUAGCCCCUAGCGCCUCCCUCUCCCUCCCGUAACACCUCUCCCUCUCGUUGGUGCUUAGCGAAGCCCUGCCGAGACCCUGCUGCAUGCACCACCACGCUAUCGUGCUGCUGGAUCUCCAUCAACUUCUCCUUCCCCCUUGCUGGAUCAAGAAGGAGGAGACUUCUUCCCCAACCGUACGUGUGUUGAACGUGGAGGUGUCGUCCGUUCGGCGCUAGGAUCAUCGGUGAUUUGGAUCACGACGAGUACGACUCCAUCAACCCCGUUCACUUGAACGCUUCCGCUCGCGAUCUACAAGGGUAUGUAGAUGCACUCCUAUUCCCCUUGUUGCUAGAAUACUCCAUAGAUUGAUCUUGGUGAUGCGUGGAAAAUUUUAAAUUCUGCUACGAUCCCCAACACCCUCUCCACGGGCUCCUGUUCAACCACCCCUCCACGGGCUACUGUUCAUCCUGCCCUCCACCGUCUACUGUUCAUCCAGCCCUCCACGGGGUGGUCCUAUUCAUCCAGCCCUCCACGGGGUCCUGUUCAUCCAGCCCCAACCAGCUCGAUCGAUCGGGGUCCUGUUCAUCCAGAGGCAACACCACGGGGUCCUGUUCAUCCACCCCCACCGGGAACUGUUCAUCCAACCCCCCUGCAACUCUCACUGUUCAUCCAGAGGCAGCAUCGAUCGGCUUCAGUUAGCAGCAGUAGCCAAGGAAUCGCUCGAUCGGGUUCAGUUAACAGCCAUCGAUCAAUCGCUCGGGUUCAGUAACGCGUAGCCUGCAGUGCAAUCGCUCGGGUUCAGUUAGAGCCCAACGCCUCGCUCGGGUUCAGUUAGAGCCAACGCCUCGCACAGACGCGCGUACGUGUACGAGAGAAACGCGCAUCGCUCGGCCCCCGACCUCCCACCGUAACCGGGAACUCCCUGAAAUUUUCCUCCCCCUCGCUUCUACCACGGUUUUUUCCGUCAUGGACGGCCCAAAGAAUGUCAUGCAGCUGCGUCUCCGGCCCGCCCAGGACGAAAAGCCCAUUUUCUGUCAUGAUUUUUUGUCAUAGAAGUAGGAGCCCACCACAUCUAUGAUGAUACCGGGUUUUGUCACAAUUAUCGUCAUAGAAGUGUCAUAUGUAUGACAGAAAUUUUUUUCGUUCGGCCCAAAAUGUCACGGAUGUGUCUUUUUUUUGUAGUGAUCCCUAGUCCCUGUAUUAGGUAAUACGCAAGUGCACUUUGUUUGGUUGGCUGCAUUGGCCCUAGCGGCACAUGAACACGGCAUUUGGUUGCAUACGGCGUACAUGUUGUGCUUACCUUGUACCCUAGUUGGUGAGCUUACCCACAAUGAUCACACCUAGCACACCAACGCCACAACACAACAAUGGUGACGAACUGGGCGAAGACGAUGAAGUUCUUCAGCUUCAGGCCGAACUGACGAUCCACCUUAGCAGCUUCUACUUUGACAACUCCAUCCUUGGCACGGUCGACACUGUUGCCUCCGUGCUUUCGCAACCAGGCGGAGUAAGCUUGUUCUGCUGCCUGCCUAGUCUUGAGCCCUCUAUAGUUGCUGUUGCUAUAUGAUGCCACUUGUGCAUUGGCUUCUUCCCAUAAACUAUAAACCCCUGGAACCUCACCGAUGAACACGGCAUACCACUUGCCCUAGCAAUGCACAAGAGCAAGAGUUGAAGCAGCAAAUCAAUGGAGCACAAGUAGCAAGCAAAGUAGCACACAAACAACAAUGGAGCAGAAGAGAAGUAAAGCAUGCAUGAUCAUAUGGCAUAGCAAGUUCAACCUAGCACUACCUUGGUGUUAACCUACCACCACAUCCAAAAGAGGGUGUCGUCCUACCACCGCAAGUUCACCAUCAGCGUGAGGGGUUAGUAUAUACCACCUCACCAAAAUAUACAGACCAUCAAAUAGUUUUUGAGCCCUAGCUACACAAAAUGUACGUCUUCAUCGUCAUCGUCGUCGUCGUCACCACCGCCAUCGCCGUCGGGGAUCAUGCACGCUCACAGGCAGCACUACUCUAGUAGUAGUGCUUGCCCAGCCAGCUCCUGAGCCACAGCACCCUGUGAGCGUGGGCCAUGGCAACGAACCCAACACCCUGGGCCUUGUUGUCAAGCAGGUGGCUGAGAGCUGCCAUGAGAGCCUCGUCGCUGAAUCCACCCUGGGUCAUGACAGCGCCAUACAGGUCAUGGUGGACGUCGAGGGGCUUGCACUCCCUCAUGGCUGUUGCCACCUCCUUCACCGCCUCAGUCAUGCUGCAAAAAACAUUGAUCUCCUCCUCCAUCAGGCCUCCUCUCUUCCUCUUCCUAUCAUGGACGGGGUCAAAUGGCUUGUCGAAGGGCUUCGCAGUGGGCUUGUCAGGGCCAUCAAUGACCUCGACGUCCGGUGUCCUAGGGAAGUCUGGCAUGGGAGAACCAAGAGGCUCACCCGAGCCCAUGGCAUGCUUCCCAGUUGCCAGCCCGAAGGAGAAGAUGUGUUGCAUCUGGUUGUAGUUCUGGAUGAGUGUGUUGAGGAACUCAACGUCCCUUGGGUGGUCCUAAGAAUGAAAUACAAGUGUUGUUAGUUGCAAUUAGGAGUAGGCAAUGGUGGACAGUAUGAAAAGGAAGAGGGCUGUGAGCUAACCGCGACAUGGCCGGCGUAGUGCUCUGCCUCCAGAACUAUGGAGCAAGUGUUCUCAUCCCAUGAGGCGCCGCUAAGGUCUCUCAGCUUGGACACUUGGAUCCAUCGACUUCUCCACUUCCUCAGGUGGUUGUACACCUGGGUGGCAGACAUCUCUUGCCCACAGAACUUGAACACCUGCUUCGCAACGGUGUUCAAGUGCACCUCCUUGAAGCCCUUGUCAGUCCUAACUCCACUAGAGAUGAGCUCACACAUCUUGUUCAGCACGAACGUGGACAUGAACGGCUGCCACUUCAUGUUGUUCGACCUACCAUCCUUCUUUGCCUUUGCUGCUGCUAGCUUGAUUGCAGCGGCAGCAGCAGCAACAGUAGGAGUUGGCUCAACGAGCACUACUGGCACAUAGAGGGAAUCAGACUCGAACACCUCUGAAUCAGGUGCCAUCUCGGACAUAGGCUGCGAGUCCUCGACAAACGAUGGAGCAAACUGGCUGUCGGACACGACAAGGCCCUGACUAAGAUCUUAUGUCUGCGUAGUCAUGUCCUACAAUCGUAGCACACAUUGACAGUGAGCAUAGCACACAACAUACCGAACAAUCCAUGAAAGCAGGAGCAUACAUGUACAUGGUUCAUCACUAUCAUAGCAAGCACAUGCUUCAUCACUAUCAUACUAAGCAUACUAGACAAUCUUUGAGCAGGAACAUACAUCUACAACAAAUAGCAUGCUACAAAUGGACCACCAAUAGCUACAAAUCACAGAUCUAAGCAUGAUUCAACACAAGCACAAGGUUCAACUUCAAACUCUACUACUAAUCUAGCCUACCACAUGCUUGAGCAUCUAGCCCUACCACAAAUUGCAACCGCAUCAUAGCAACUAACCAUAUCAGCUCACAGAUCAGACCACUAAUCAACCAUGCAUCUAGAUCAAACCCUAGCUGCAACUCAGAUCUAGCUAGAAGGAACAGAGAGAAAGGGGGGUUGAAUUCACAGAGGCCAUGGCUGCAGCUUGAGGACGAGGGGGACGGUGGUGGAAGAUGAACGCCAGCCGGUGAAGGAGCUCCGACGCCGUGGACCGCCGGCCGAUGAAGAUGCGCCGCUUACCUGCUCGUCGGUGCCGAUGCGCAUCGGCGGAAAAGCGCGAACGGAGGAAGAAUGGUGGCGGGAGUUGGGGCGGUGAGGGAGGGGCUAAAUAGGUGUGGAGAGGCUCCAGGUGAGCCGAAAUCCUCCCGCCGAUUUUUCGGCGACGCGGGCGAGCUCGCACCAUCUCCCCUGCUCGCACGAGGGGAGAAGCGCGUCGCCCUCCCCUGCCUCGCGCGAGCCAGGCUCGCGAGCUAUUGCCGAUUCAUGAGUUUCCCCUGAGCCUGGCCUGGACAUGCUUUAAGUUUCGUGCGAUGGCCGCAUGAUGAAUGCAGAAAAUCAAACGGGCUGAAUUCUUCCCGCGCAAGCCAGGCUGGGCCUAAUGCGGGCAACCAAACACGCCCUUGACGAUCUCCCUCUCUCCUGGCAAGAGAAGAGAGCAGCCAGCUCGAGAGCGAGUGAUCUCUCUUUUCUUUUUUGUUGAGAGAAAAAAAGACCAGAAGCUGGGCCAAGCUGGCAAGAGUGCUGCAGAUGUCAGCGAUUUCUUAAUCCAUGAGCUGGGCCAAGACCUUCACUGAUAUCACACAGCCCAUCUCAAGAAUCACUGGUUCCUCAAAAAAAAUAAUUCAUUUCCACUAUCCACCUCGCGCCGCGCUCGCUCCUCCGCCCUCUCGCUCACCGGCGUGGGGAGCUCCGGCGGCUCCGGAAGAAGCCCCCGAGCACGCACCCGAAGACGCCGAGGGAAGUGGACGCCAGGGGCGGGAGCUCCUCCACGAGCUUGGAGACCUCGGUGUUGACUUGGGCCGGAGAAGUCGGUCGGUGCUGCCUGCUCUUGGAUUGGGUUCACGAGCCGAGCUCAGGUGAUGCUGCCUGCUCUUGGAUCAAGGGAUUCCCUGAUUCGGUGAUGCUACACUCCCCACUUUUCUCGUGUUUCUGCUGAUUCAUUUAUUCUUCCGCUCCCGCAGGGCGCGCCACCUGUUCGACGGAAUGCUCAACAAGACUGCGGCGAGCGGCAGGUGUCAAUUCGACGACCUCACUGACGACCUCCUCCGGCACGUGCUGUCCUUUCUGCCUGCGGCUGAUGCUCUGCAAACUUGCGUGCUCGACACCGGGUGGCGUGACCAUUGCAGGCGCACCACCAGCCUGCCCCUCAUCUUUGACCAGUCGAGUUUCCCGAGCUCCGAACGUUUCAAACAGCUGGUGAAGCUCUUCAUCCACCUCCGCGGGGACUCGCCUCUCGACAAGUGCAAGAUCGUUGGCUGUCUUGAUGAUGAUGAUGAUGAUGAGCGCACAUACACAAACACCAUGCUGUUGAUCCAGUAUGCUCUAAAGUGCCAAGUUAAGGAGCUCCAGCUCAGUGUUGCUAUUGAAGAAGAUGAUGAUAAUGACAUUGAGUAUGACCCACUAGUACUCGAUGUGCCUCUCAUCUCCCAGCACUAGAAGAUCCUACACCUUAAUCGGGUUGACCUAAAACGCUCCACUCUGAAUUUCUCGCGCUGCUCGGUAUUGGAGGAACUAGAGAUGCAAGAUUGCUACAUUGAUGCACGCAGGAUAUCUUCCAAAUCGCUAAAGCGUCUCUGCAUUACCGACUUUUGUUCCUUCCCUACGAAGUUUCACAUUCGGAUAUUUGCUCCGGGUCUUAUCUCACUGCAACUUGAUAAUUUUGAUGGCUUGACCCCUUCCCUUGAAUACAUGCCAUCUCUAGAAACAGCUUAUGUUUGGCUUCACAAUAGUUGCUAUGAUUCUUGUCAUAGUAACCGACAGAAUUGUGAGUAUGAGGACUGUAGCUGUCAUGCUUAUCCAGUUGAUGAAGGUGUGCUUCUCCAUGGUUUGUCCAAUGCUGUGAAUUUGGAGUUGGUAGGCGAUGCUUAUUUCGAACUGGUACAUUUACACUUACUUCCUUUUUUACUCUUGUUGUUAUGUGCCACCCAUGGAUUCUUUGUAACAUCUCUGUCCACUGUUAGACCUGCAUAUACAUGUUCUCAUUACCACAGGUUGCUACUUUUAUCUCCACCAAUUGGUUUUAAAUUAAUAAUUUUAAUAACAUUGUAGCUUGAUUGGAUAAAAUGUAUUUCCAGGGCUUGAGCUGUAGUUCUGUCUUUCUUUAUGCCUGAAAUCAAAGUAUCUACCCAAACUUCCUACUUACUUAAAUUGUUUCGCCUUCUUGAGUCUCACUGUUCUUUUUUGUUCCUUUGCUAUUUGGUAGUUUGAAAUUAAAGUAUCUACCCAAUGUUCCUACUACCGGAAAUUAUUUCUUCUAGAGUCUUAAAGUUCCAUUUUGUUUGCUUGCUAUUUGUGCAGUUUAUCUAUAGAUGGGAUUUAGAAUGCUGCCCUAUAUUUGACAAACUAAAGACUCUAUCACUCAAUGAGUGGUUUACGACUAUUGACCUACUGUGCAUUCUCCAACACUCUCCAGUUCUUGAGGUGCUCACUCUUCAGCUUGGUAGCACUGAGGUAUAACCUAUAUAUAUAUAUGAAGACAUUGUUGUACUGUUAAAGGAACUAUUAUGUAUAUUCCGUUGAUCUAAC
rnacentral:lncRNA from 1 species